rnacentral:lncRNA from 1 species
UCUUUCCAUCUCCUCCUGUUUGUGUGAUCAAGGUUAAGUCACGUCAAUAUUUUAUAUUCCUAUUACUUUUUGUUUUAUUAUUUUAUAAAAAAAUUAAUAUAAAAUGUUGACGUAGCUUAACCAUGACCACACAAACAAGAAUGAAUGGGAAGAAUAUGGAACUGGGAGGGCAGACAAUCCACCUCCAAUUUGGAGAGAUGAUGGAUUUAAUUAAUUUGUUUAAUCGUGGUAAUACCGCACUAGGAUUUUUGCUGGGUUGGCAUAAGCACUAGGGUUUGCAUUUUCCAGGGUAAGGGCCAACCCACGAUCAUCGUCAUCUUGAACAUGUCUCCUUUGGAAGCAACUUUUGCCCCUCUUUCUGCUUAUGCAGAUGAAUAAUAUUUGUUAGAACUGAGUUCGUAAACUAAUGGAUAGAGAGGUUCAAAUCUCUUUUAACAAAGACUUCCAUUCUUCUAAAUAUUGGCUCUUUUAUAGUUUCUUCAAUUUCCGAUGUCAAACAAUACUCUACAUUUUACAUAAAAUAUAACAUAGGCUUAGUUUUAACUGACACAUGUACUCUUCAUAAAACCUGACUUUACUGUAUGAACUCUAUUUUGUUUCACUUUACCCAAUGUACUUAUACUUUGUGUCUCACUUUACCUUAUUCCCUUAACUUCGUCACAUAAACCGUUAACUUGCUGACUUGCAGUGUCUUUAAUGUGAUAUUGGUUAAAAGAAAAUUAUAAAAUAGAUUAAAAUGUGACAAGUUAACAGUUUAUAUGACGGAGUUUAACAAAAUAAGGUAAAGUAAGACACAGUAUAAAUACAUGGAGUGAUAGAGUGCAAGAAGUAAAGUGAGAUUUUUUUUUUUUUUUUUAUCAUAGCUAAAAAUAAGCCGCAAAUAUAUACUCACUAACGUGAGGCAUUUUUGUAUCUAACAUGUAGACAAUUUUUAACAAGUGAAGUGACGUGUGACUUAAAUGCUAAUAUCUAACCCAUAAUCAUAUAGCAAGUUAGCAAUGGGUGGAAGGGCUUAAAACUUUUUAAGCUCAUAUAUUUUCUUUGAUCUUUGUAUGUGACAUUCUAUCAACAAAAUUAGGGUUUACGAACUUUAUUAUCUUAAGGAACGCAUGCUUCUCGAUCAAAGCAUUUUACUACCUACAUUUGACUGAAAAUCCCAACUUCCAAAUUAGAACCAAAACAUUUGAAACCAAGCCAGUACUAUUAAACAUAAAGAGAGUAAGUUGGAAGUGUGAGAUUGGUAAAAGUGCCACGCUGUCCUGUUUGUGUGUCUUUUGUAAUUGUCCAUCUAUCUAUCUUAAUUUAGUCUAAUAGAUAAUUAGAGCAAUGGUCUCUGAAUUUUACCUCAAUCGGAAUUUUGAUCUCUGAACUAAAAAUCCGUGAGCAUGGGUAUCUGAACUUGCUAUAAUAUGAAAUAAUGAUCUUUUACGCUAACUCCGUUAGAACUUAUAUUCAAAAUAAAGGGUUUAAAGGGACAAAAAUAAAUGAAAGUUCUAACGAAGUUAGCCAAAAUGAUCUUUGCUCCACAUUAAAACAAGUGCAUAAACCAAUACUCACGGAUUUUUUAUUCAGGGACCAAAUUAUCUCUAUCUAACAUAUCUACAAAGCUAUAAACCCUAAGUAUAAACAUUUUGUCAUAAUAUUUGUGGAAAAGAGUCGGGUAAAGAUUUGUGUUAUGGUGAAUGUGUAAAACGUGAGAUUCAAGAAGUCGUAAGCUAGAAUUAGGGCACGCGUGAAAUCCAGGCCGCCCCAUAAACAUCUUGCCUUGUUUUCUACUUUCUUGUCUUCCAUUGCAGCUGCUGCUGCUGCAGUGGAAGCUUCACCGCCAUCAUCAAGACAAAAGGGCCAAAAGCCACCCCCACUCAAAUCAAACAUUCCUUAUUUUAUAAAUUAAGAGAAGAGAAUAUGAAUUUGGGGGAAAAAGAUCCAAUCAUAUGUACUGGUUGCUUGCUGCCUGGCAUCUAAUUAGUGGCCAAAGUCAUUAGAUUAUUAGGUUUCCUGUUAACCCAGACCCACUAAAUUAAUUUUGGUUUUAUUAAUUAUGAUCCGUGUUAACCCACUAACUUAAUUUUGGUUGUUAUUAAUUAUUGUUCAUGCAUAUGCACAAUUGGUGAAUUGCUCCGGCGCUCUCUUCAAUCCGUUAUGUCACCAGUUCAAAUUCACAGUAUAAAUAAAUAUCGAAUGUAUUCAAAAGGAAAAAAUUUCAUGUACAUGCACUUAGUGUGAUUCCUAAUAAUAACGUGUGAUAUUUUACCCGCUCCAUAUUCAAAUUAACAGAUUCAUUGGGCAACUCAAUGUGUACAAAGCGGAUAUUUAUGGACAAGGGAAGUACAAUCUACCAGAAAUAAAUGCUCUUAACUAGUAAGGCACGGACCCAACCAACAAAUGUUGGGGGGGGGGCUGAGCCAUCUGCAUAGGAGAGUUGUCCAAAGGUAGGUUAGGACAUUUUUGUAAGGCCAUCUCCAACCGAAGGGUCCAGAGGGUCAGAGGGCCGAAAAUAGCCCUUAAACCGUCUCCAACCGAGCGCUAGGCCAGAGGGCUCGGGAAUCUGGGAGGGCUGGAGGGCUGGCUGCUUUCGGCCAGAGCCAGCCAACCCCAGGCUGGCUAUUUUUUUUUUUCUAGUUUUCCUAUUGCUGUCGGUUAUAACCGACAGUAAUAGGUAUUCAUAGGCAAAAAAAAAAAAAUUAUUUACUAUUACUGUCGGUUAUAACCGACACUAAUAGUUUGAAAUUUUUUUGAACAUAACGGCUAGCUAAUCAGCUAGCUGUUGGGUUUUUUUUUUUUAAUUUAAACAUUUCUUUUUUUCUAUAAAUAUGGUGAAGUUCUUUCAAUUCUUCACUUCAUUUGAAAUAUUUCCUUCUUCAAUAUUUCCUUCAAUAUAUUUCUCAAUAUUUCCUUCAAUAUAUUUUCCAAUAUUUCCUUCAUCUAUAAUAUUUGUUUCAAUUUUUCAAUAAUUUCCUUCAUUUUGUUCCUAUAACUUAUUUUUCACAAAAUUUGUUUCAUAUUUUUUUUUAAAUUUCAUUUUUUUCCUAUAACUUCUAUUUCACAAAAUUUGUUUCAUAUUUUUUUUAAAUUCUAUUUUUUUUCCUAUAACUUCCUAAGCCAUUAUACAACAUUAAAUUAAAUUAAGUAACAUGAAACAACAUUUAAGUUGUAAUUUUUAAAUAAUAAAUUAUGUUUAGCCCUAUAGCCCUUUGUCCCUCGAUUGGAGACGGUUUUUUUGUGAAAAUGCUAAAACGAACCCUUUGGCCCUCUAGCCCUCAGUUGGAGACGAAGGCAAAUAUGACAUUGUACUGUUCAUUAAAAUAUUAAUAUCUUAGAGAAUCUUAGAGGGCCAGAGGGCUAAAACGAGCCCUCUAGCCAACCAUCGGUUGGAGAUGGCCUAAGUUGGAGUGGGCUAGAGGCUAGGUCCGUUCUUGUACCAAGUUGACUUACCGGCUCCUUCCUCGUUGGGAAACUAUUACGGAAGGCUGCAAAUUACCAACCAGAAGAGUAGCGCUUACAGGGCUGGGCAUACCGGCAUACUAUAAAACGAAGACAAACUAUGCCCCAAGUCAGCAACGGCUUCGUCAAUAAAGUUCGCCUCUCGAAAAACAUUGCAAAAAACAAAAUUAUCUCAAGUCUCCUGAAUUUACAGCAAAGGAGAUGAAAUUUACAGUGUUAAAUAUUAGAUAUGAGCCCGUCAAGAAAGUAAAGGCGUAGGGAUGAAAAACCAAGUUAAGCAGGAGUAUCAAAUCAGUUUUGAGAAUUAGGGAACAACCUAUUCUGAAUUUGGUAAAAUAAACUAUAAAGUUGAAGCUUCAAACAACGGUACAGAAACAGGAUACGAACCAUAAAAUUAGCUCCAAAAUUGAUCGCGUUUCUAGCCAACAAUUAAAGCAGUAUUGAAAAGAUUGAACGAUCCUACCUAUAUUUUCAAUGGAAAUAAAAAUAUUACACCCUUCUCUGCAAACAAAGACCCCGUUCUCACAGUUGGUCAUAUAUCCUUUGACAGAUUACUUUCAAAAGUAGAAUCUCAUGACAUAGGUUCUGUAAGCAAAGGCAUUACAGAACCUGAGCAGCCGUGUUCAAUUUUUCGGCUAAGGUGAGCUGUGUCCUUGUGAUGCUUGACAAGUACAGUAAGAGCAAGUUGUCCUGUAAGCAACAAACAAAAGGACAAGUCUAAUGUCAAAGAAACGCUCGCCAAACUUAUAACCCUAGUAUUGAAGAACUAUUUUGCAUCAUUACCCUACAACCGACAACAGGAGGCUGUGAACAACACUGAUAAUAGAUAACUAAAGUAACUGAAUAUUUUGAACUGUAUCUUUCAUGAUACAACAAAAUGAACAAAAAUAUAUCGCACCUGCAGGCUGUCAUUGAUAAGCUUAUCAAAAGCUGAUGGAGACAGUUUCGGAAGAGAUGCAAUCGUAUCAAAAAGAAAUCUCCCUAUAGUGUUAUCUUGUUCAACACGGCCUUCCUGGAAACAUGAACCCUCAUUAGAAUUAAGUAAAAUAAAUGGAAUGACCAGCUUAAGAAGGUUAAGUAUCAUUACUAACCACAACAUUGUCAACAUAUUUGUAAACAUCAUCAAUUAAAGCUAGAAGCCGCUCCAUUGAGGCUUCCAUUCCUUCAAGAUCAGUUGGGAGUUUGUCAACCAUUGGGGUCUUUAAAAUAUCAUCUGUCAUCAUGGAAAAGCAUAUGAUUUUGAAUCAGAUCUGCAUCGUGCUUAAAAGCUCAAACAAUCAUAUCCAAAAAUUAGUGGGAAGCUAUGAGUUCAACCAAUGUACUAAAUAAAAGCUUAGGCCCAAAAUGACAAACUACUUUUUAUUGAUGUGAAAAGGACAUAUAACUAGUUCCUUCAACGGAUUGUUAUUCUCAGAAAUACUAGUUCCUUCGAGUUUCCUCCAAAACUUAGCGUAAAAGUUACUUCUGUUCCAUGAAGUCAGAAAACUAUACAGGGAAGAUCAAGUGAAUGUGUUGUGUGUGUGAAUACCAAUAUGACCACAAAUGAUGCUACAAACAAUAAAAGUUUAGAGGGAUAAACUUACAUCCAACUCGCUCAGCUUCAACCAUGCGAAGAUCAAGAGGAAUUUCUUGAAACUGCGCAGCAAGUUGCCGAUCUCCAAGAGACAAAUUCACUGAAACAUAGCUUUUAUGGCACCCACUCCAUUAACAAAUCCAGUAUCAACAGUCAAAUGAACGGGGUUGGGAGCUUCUCUAGAAUAGAAUUCAUGAAACAGUGCACUACCACCAGUAACUCCAAGACCAGUUGAAUACCUACAAGUAAUAAUCAAGGCGUAACAAUAAGCAUUCCAAUCAACUUGAAAACUUACAAAUCUCUAUUACAUAUGCUUAAAACAAACUCGUAUGAACUUUUCGAAAUUUGUGAAACUAUCAUUGGGGAGCAUUGAGUUCGCGCUCUCACGUGUACCAUGACAUACGAGGAUGUUCCCUAUUCCAUUUAUGAAUUCGUAUUUUUGGCUACCAAGCUUACGCACUAGUUACAGGUUCCGCACCAAAUUAAACAUAAAUUACACAGAGGAAGCAACAUUUCACCGGAAUGAAUAUCAUUAUUAAACACGAUAUAAUUCGAAUUCGUCAAUUAAAACUGCCUGAAAAGUUGCACGAUAAUAACUAAGAAAUCUAAAACAGAAAAGAUAAUGAUAUUUACCAUCCAACGAUGACUUCCUUGGGAUUCACCUUCUGGUGGGAUAUCAACAUAUUGUGAUGGUACUCAAUAUCUAAAGCAACCUGCAAAUUACACACCGAAACAAAACGUCAGUAAAUUCUAACACAGGAUCACAAUUUCCUCGUGUUCAAGAAAUUAACCACAAUUUUCUCAUCAACCAAACAGGGGGAAAACCCAAAUCGCUAAAUAACAAUAAAAUUAAAGAAACAAAUGAGGAAGAAGAACCUGCUCGGCGCUCAUAUGAGGAACAGCGUAGGAGUUUCUGAUGUCGACAGUUCCGUCAGGUAGGACGGAGCCGAGGAGCGUGCCGAUGACUCGCUCCGACUGGUCGGGACGCCUGACGUAGCAAUCGCAGAUGUUAAAGAUGACGAGAGGAUGAACCUUCGCCGACAAGCUCGACGACGGAGACGUGGAGAACUGCAACGCAGUGUGCUCGAUCGCCGCCAUUCUCUCUCACCGCCGAUGGAUCUGGAUUUUGCUUAGGGCUCGAGAGUAAGCGAGAAAGAGCACGGAGGGUGGAGCGAGCACUAGGGUUUUGGGGGAUAGAGAGAGAAGAGGGUAUUGGAUUUCACUUGUUUUUAUUUUAUUUUAUUUUAGGCCUUUCAUCAUUAAGAAGCCCAAUGGUCUAAUGGGCCUAUCUUGGCCCAAAUAGGCUUCAAGAAUAAGAGUUGGCAAAAUCGAAGUAAGAUUCUCUCAUCUCCUCUCCUCUAUUAAUUUUCUAUUUUUCUUUCUCUUUCUGCAAAGAAGUCAACACAAGAAAUUGACGUGAUUUAAUUGUGACUGUUUAAAUAUGAGGAGACUAGAGAGAAGGAGAAUUUGGAGAAGAUAAAAUUCUACUCCAGCAAAAUCUGGGACAAGAAACUUGAAGCCAUUUCAAUCUUUAAAUAAAUUUCCUUAAAAAUCACAUAAUAUUGGAUUAAAUAUGAUUGCAAACUUCAUUUAAGGUAUGUUAGAGGGAAAAAGUGGAGCUAACUUUCACAUUUUGGCCAAUUGAUGGUAGAGAUGCACUAUUUGUGAAGAAAACUAAUCACUUCUCAAUCUUGGUUAUGAACGAAUAAAACUUUACCAUAUUGGGAGAGUAAAAGGGACAUGUUUUAUUUCUGAACAGAUAAUCUAUUUCUUUCAACUCGAUAAAUUUUGAAAGUUAAUAUUUAUUUCUUACGUCAACAUACCUCAAAAAUAGCAAAUUGUUAAAUUCAAUCAUAGGCAUCAAACCUAGUAUCUUCUAAGAGCAAGUCCACCCAUCAUUGAGCCAUUUAAUACUAUGGUUUAGUGGUAUUUAUCUUCAUAUGUAAAUGAGAGGUUUUAGGUUCGAUUAUCGUUAAAUGUGAAUUUGAACCACAUUAUUGAUAACUCAUUGAGAGUCUUAUUCCACUCUCCCAUUCCCUUAAUGUAGACAUUUUGUUUAAAAAAUGAAAAAAUAAAAAAAUAAAGUCCACCCAUCCUUGGAUGGCAAGGGCAAGGGCAUAAAAACAAGGGAAAGGGAUUCGGAGUCCCUUCCAUCAAAUCCACCUCAUCAAUCAAUUCGGACCUUUGAAAUUUAAUCUAACAGCUAAAGCCGUUAUAACUUUUAAAAGAAUCUCCUAUUUUUAACCGUUAAAUCAAAUUUUAAAAACCCAAAUUGAUUGAUGGGAUGAAUUUGUUGGAAGGGAUCCGGAAUCCCUUUCCAAAAACAAGGGCCCAAAAUGAAGAAGGCAAUCAGCUCCACCAAGCCUGUCGGACUGCCCAGCCAACAUUACGCGCAUGCUAGUGCUAUGUUCGGCGGAGCAGGCUGUCAUGUUUUGAUAGGUACAAGGAGGACCACGACAUGAUUUGAUCAAGUAUGAAUGCUACCAUGCUGAUAUGAAUUUAAUUAAGCGUCCCGAUGAGCUUUCAAAACGGUAUCCAUUACUCUGACUCUAAAAUCAGAACGACGACGGUUCCUUGAAUAAUUAUUGGAUCUGGAUGUUUACUUGGGACGAGAAAGUUUAUGAACCAGAUUAUGAGAAAAGUCGGGACCAAAAAACAAAACAUGUAGGAUUGAUAAUAUGACGAUACUAAAGAAAUCAAAAUUUUAAUUUAUGUUUUAUAAAUCACGUAAUGUGAUGAUUGAUUGUUUGACUUAUUUUUUAAAUCAUUAUAAAAGGGAGUUUUGCUAUUAAUCUCUACAUCAUAUGAUUUACAAAAAAUGAUCAAUUUUUUUUAUCUAUGUAGCAUUUUUCAUGAGAAUAACUACUCUUUAGUCAAUGGAAUUCAUGGUUGUUAAUAAAUGUAUGGUAAAUCAAGAAUUACAAUAAUUUGAAUAUUUGGUGUAAGAAAAAUGAAAUCUGAAUCAUAUUCAUUCUAAUCCUCAAUUUUAGUAAAACGUGCCAUUAGUAUAUAUAAUGUCGGUAUAUGAGCAUCUACAACACUACUAAUUAUAUAUUUGUUAUUUUAGCAUGAAAAUAAUCAAAAUAACUCAAAAUCUUUUAAUAGCCACAGUUUAAGCAUAACCAUCUCCAACGCUAUUAGGCCUGAAUUCAGCCUUGUGCCUUCGAGAAUUUCUGGAAGGGCAAACUCUUUGGAGUAAGCCAUAGUACACAACCACCACAGGGUGGCUCAAGUGACAAAUUUUCAGAUCCGUAUUUCACACGAUACGUCUUGGAUUCGAUUCCUGACAUUGGUGAGUCACACGAUAGUAGUCAAGUGGAUGCUGAAAUACCUCUGUGAGUCUUCCCUGCCCGCGGAAUAGUCGAUUGUCAUGAUGAAGCUACUAAAUGGUCCUUUUUUUCUAAACAAAACAAAUAUUACAUAUUUUAUUAUAGGAAAAUUCUAUUCUAAUCCUUGUCUAAGAUUACUUUUUGAAUAAAAUCUUAUCUAAGAUUAAAAAUUAAUUCUAAUCCUUGACAUUUAAUUGUAACUUUUUAAUAUUAAAUAGGUUGUAAUUGUAACAUCCCACAUCACCCAGGGGUUAUGAUCAUGUAAGCCUUAUGUGUAUAUUCUCAUCUUUACCUAGCAUGAGGCCUUUUGGGAGCUCACUGGCUUCGGAUUCCAUCGGAACUCCGAAGUUAAGCGAGUUCGCGAGAGAGCAAUCUCAUGAUGAGUGACCCACUGGGAAGUUCUUGUGUGAGUUCCCAGAAACAAAACAGUGAAGGCGUGGUUGAGGCUCAAAGCGAACAAUAUCGUGCUACGGUGGAGUUGAGCCCGGGAUUUGACAAUUUGGUAUCAUAGCCAAUCUCUGGCCGGAUGUGUGCCAACGAAGACGUCUAAGGGAAGUGGAUUGUAACAUCCCACAUCGCCCAGGGGUGAGGAUCUUGUAACGCCUUAUAUGUAUAUUCUCAUCUCUACCUAGCACGAAGCCUUUGGGGAGCUCACUGGCUUCGGGUUCCAUCGGAACUCUGAAGUUAAGCGAGUUCGCGCGAGAGCAAUCCCAUGAUGGGUGACCCAUUGGGAAUUUCUCAUGUGAGUUCCCAAAAACAAAACCGUAAAGGCGUGGUUGAGGCCCAAAGCAAACAAUAUCGUGCUACGGUGGAGUUAAGCCCGGGAUGUGGUGAGGACCCAGGCCAGGAUGUGAUAGUAAUAAUUGUUGAGUUUUUUGUUUGUAGGUUAUAUAUUGAUUCCCAUAAAUAAUAAAAAUGUUAUUUAUCAUUGAUAGUUAUUAAGUUCACAUAAUAAGAGAAGUCAUAUAUUAUCAUAUUUUUUUUAUUGUGCGUAAAUUUCUCCAUAUAUAUGUAUAUACAUAUUACGUACAUAUGUAUAUUUAGAUACUAUAGUUACGUACCAAUACAUUUGUAUCGAUACAUUCGUACCGAAAGUUAUUGUUUGGGCCCAAAAAUAGUGUUGGUUGGGCUGAGUUUAGAAUCCUUAUCGGCCCAGUGUUGGUUGGGCCGAGUUUAGAAUUCUUCUCAGCCCAUAAGCCGUGUACAGGUGUCGUUGGGAGUUAUGUAGCUCCUGGGCUGCACGGUCGAAGUUGGCCACGUCCCAUUGGGGAAUUGGGGAUGUGGAUGAGUCAUGUUAUGAGAAGGAGUUUCGACAGGAUCAGGAUGCUGGAAUUGAAUACAGCCUGGUAACGAGUUAUGUUCAAAGUCCUAGUAAGAAUAGGAUUGGCCGAGAUAAAGUUGAAUCAGGGAAAUGAGUUAUAAUCCGAGAGUGAUUGAGAUUCAAUAUAGGUUGGCUGCUAUAAAUAGGGAGGGAAGACAUCGAAACAAGAUCCCUCUAACUCAACACACAAACUGCCCAUCGCAAACCCUUGCUCUACGCGAAACCUCUCAACAACCUUGAGAUUUUUUUAUUUUCCUUUUUUGCCAACACAACUUCAGUUUGGAUAAAUAACACUGUGAAGGCAACUGGCGAACACCUUCAGUUUGAAUAAACAACAUUGUUGCCGUAGAAUAAGCCGACCUUAAAGCAUGUUCAAUUUGGAUAAACAACACUGGGACAGGGCCAACUAGUUAUCUAUCCAAGUCUCGGUUGAAAAGGAUUUUUGAAUCCUUAUCGGCAGGGGUCAUCUCAUUAGCCUUCUCAGCAAAGCGAGGUGUUACAAGUUACUAUACUCGGCACAUUGAACGCCGAGUCGUUUAUGAUUGGUUAUUCGCAAGUAGGUUUUAGAGUUCGGCAUUCUGACAGCCGAACCACUUUCACAAUCAAGACAUAUAUUUAUUUUGAAUACAUGUGUCCUUAUACUCUGGUGUCGAUUCGGUGUGCUUAUACUCUUAUGAAUAUAAUCACGGUGACCGAAUACGAUGCCAUCAAUUUGUGAACUUCGCAAAACUAGUAGCUAUGUCUUCAAGCUUUAGAACUUGAAGGCCGAUGCGUGUUCUUUCCUCGGCCGUAGUUGCAAGAUCGAGAAGUCAGAUGCACACCCAACGCAACAUCAACAAAUUUUACUCCUCGACCGAGCUCGGCUGACGAGUUGGCACGCCCCGCAUACAACUGAAUGACGUAGUUAGCUUACUAAUUAUUCAGCUUGCACGCCACGUAGGCUUGGUAGUUUUUAGGGUCAACAAUUAUGUACCACUAUAUUCUUACCGAAACUUACGAACCGAUACUUAUGUACUUAUAAGUAAUAUAAGGUACCUAAAGUUAUGUACCAAUACUUCCGUACUUAUGAUAAAAUAAGAUACCGAAUGUUAUGUAUAAAUUGAUUUUGUUAUGCUGUUGAAUUUUUUUAAUAAUGAGAAUUUGAAUUUUGAAUAAAUUUUUAUCUAUUAAUAUGAUUAGAGCACAAAAUAAAAAACAUAAUUAUGGAUGGGUAAAUAAUUUCGAAUGGCAAGUUCAUAAAUUAUAAAUGUGCUAUAAUUACUUAAAUAUGUAAGUUUUAAAAAUAGAGACUUAUAUUAGAUUUUGAAAACCAUUCAGGUUAAAAUUUAAAAACAAUCUUAUUGAAACCCUAAAAUCUAAAAACCCCUGUUAUUAUUAACAACUCAAUCCUUUUUAUUAUUUUGUUAUUUAACUAUUAACCACUACUAUCACCAAAGUUUUGAUAUAUUUCAAGUUGAUCUUUUUGUUAAAUUAUCUUUAUACUUGUGUUGACCCCUAAAAACUACAAAGCCUAUGCGGCGCGCAGGUCGAGUAACUAAUGAGCUAAUUACGUCCUUCGGUUGAUGCAAGGCGUGCCAACUUGUCGGCUGAGCUCGGCCGAUGAGUAAAAUAUGUUGAUGUUGCGUUGGGUGCGCGGCUGAGUUCUCAAUCUUACGACUGCGGGCGAGGAAGGAACACUCUCAGCCUUUGGGUUCUAAAGCUUGAAGCUAAGGCUGCUAGUUCUGUGAAGUUCAAUAUCAAAUUUGGCUUUCAAUGUGCCGAAUGUAGUAACUUGUAACACCUCACUUCGUCGAAAAUGCUAAUGAGAUGCAAGGUUCUAAAAAACGCUAGGCGCUAGUCGGGCGGCGGGCUAGCGCCUAGCGCCUAGGCGGCUAGGCGGAUUUAGGUAAAUUUCUUGUAUAUCAUGUAAAUAAGUGCAUAUUGACACCUUAAAAAAAACUAUACUUGUAUGGAUAAUAAAAUAAUGAUAAAAUGCAAAUUAGGUACACUAUUUCCAUAAGUAUUGGAUGAACUUGUAGUAAAUCCAUCAUUUGCAAAUUAGAUACACCAUUUCCAUAAGUAUACCACCAUAAAACCAAAAAAGAAAAAAGCACGCAUUAAUAAAAAAUAAAAAAUAAAAAAAACCUCCUAGGACCGCCUACCCCGCCUAACCCGCCUAGCCGCCCAGCCCGCCUAGACCGCCUAGGCGCCGCCUAGCCCGCCUAGGCCCAACCCGAUUUUUCCUCCCGAUUUGCCCAAAAACGCCUCGGUUGCUAGGCGCCCAGCGCCUAGGCGGCCGCCUAGGCCGUUUUUUAAAACACUGAUGAGAUGACCUCUGCCAAUAGGGAUUCGAAAAUCCUUCUCGACCGAGACUUGGAUAGAUAACCAGUCGGCCAUGUCGCAGUGCUGUUUAUCCAAACUGAAGGUGCUUCACAGUCAGCUGAUUCUACGGCAACAAUGCUGUUUAUCUAAACUAAAGAUGUUCGCCGGUUGCUUUCACGGUGCUAUUUAUCCAAACUGAAGAUGUGUUGGCAAAAGGGGAAAAUAAAAUCUCAAGGUUGUUGAGAGGUUUCGCGUAGAGCGAGGGUUUGCGCAGGGCAGUUUGUGUGUUGAAUUGGAGGUCGACCUUCCGUUGCCAUUGCAUUUGUAUUUAUAGGACUGAAGUACUUGCUUUGCACGGUCAAAUAAUGUUGCAGAGUUUAAUUGCAACUCUAAUUCCUAAAAUUAAUCCGCGUCAAAAGCCAAGCAUAUCCUCAGAUUCUAGUUUGUGACUUCUAAAAUAAAGCCUAUCUAAGCUUCCACAUCACAUCAGAAACCUAGAGGACCUAGGCUUCAGAUCUCAUAAAAAAAAAUCUCCACCAGAAGGCUUUUAAAACCAUUUGAUCACUUCCAUCACCAUAGCCUACCUAGGUUUCCUAUGUCAUCAUUACAAACCUAGCUUUUCUAGGCUUGUCUCAUCAUCACCCAAAGCCAUCAACUUUAUUGUGGCAUGCAUCAUGACCCUAUCUGAAUGCAUUUCAAAUUCAUUUUUAGCUUCCAUGUACCAUCGGAUAUCCCAAAUCAACUCGAACUGUAAUGCUCGCUUGGGAUAUAAUUCACAUCAUAUUUAUUUGGUUGAAGAAGACGCUAGGAUAAUGCAUAUUAAAAGAUAAUUUUUAUGAUAAAAAUCAUAAUAUUAUCCUUUAAUAAUGACAAAACCUAUCUCCACUUUUCCAUUCAACGAUUGAGAGUUAUGCUCACUCAACGGUCUUGAUUACACGGCCCAAUGGUGUAAAUUUGGGUCCAAACAACUUAGUUAAAUAUAACUUUUGGAGAGUUCAAAUGGGAAUUGUUUUUGGCACUCAAAAAAUCUCAUUUUACACUCCAAACUUUCUAUAAUUAGAAAAAAGCCGAUGGUUUUCUUAAGAUGCUCAAAAUGAUUAGUUGCGAAAAAAAAACUAAUGAAAAUGACUUGAAAACUUUGAAUUUUAACGGAAAAAAAAGCGUUGUAAGUGAAUAGUACUAAUAUUGACUUUUAGAGUAAAAAUAUGGUUUUUCGUUAAAAAAAAAUGAACAGUACCAGAAGCUUUUUAUUAAAGUUCCCAAAAAAUUAUGAUUUAAAAUAAUCUCAUGUCGGGGCGUUGCAGUAGAUAAGUUUUUUUAAUAAAAUAAUUCAUCGACCACUUACAAGUUGGUACACAAUUUUGUAAUUUCAUAUUUCAAUAUACCUUAAACAUCAGAGGUAAUUUAAUCCAAUCCUAUCCAAUCCUUUAAACCAAACUACGCGUAAAGUGAUUUAUUUAAAAACAUAGUUAUUAGUAGAUAGGAUUUGGACCAUUGGCCUAAUAUCAUUUAAAGACAUGCCCACAAACUUUUGUUUUUUAUAUUUUUUUAGAAGAGAGAGAGUAAACCUCAAUUUAUUUGAAAAUGAAAUUGUUAUUAGCACUUUAAAAACAUCAAUAUUUCUUUCUAAUUAUAAAAAGUUUUAAGUGUAAAAUAAGAUUUUUAGAGUGCUAAUAAUAAUUCAAUUUUCAAAUAAAUUGAGGUUUACUCUCUCUGUUCUUAGAAAAUAUAAAAAAUAAAAGUUUGUGGGCAUGUCUUUAAAUGAUGUUAGGCCAGUGGUCCAAAUCCUAUCUACUAAUAAUUAUGUUUUUAAAUAAAUCACUUUAGGCGUAGUUUGGUUUAAAGGAUUGGAUAGGAUUGGAUUAAAUUACCUAUGAUGUUUAAGGUAUAUUGAAAUAUGAAAUUACAAAACUGUGUACAACUUGUAAGUGGUCGAUGAAUUAUUUUAUUAAAAAAACUUAUCUACUGCAACGCUCGAUGUGGGAUGAAUUUAAACGAUAAUUUUUUGGGAACUUUAAUGCAAAGCUCUCGAUAAUGUUCACUUUAACAAAAAAAUUAUAUUUUUACUCUAAAAAGUCAAUCCUGGUACUAUUCACUUACAACUUUUUUUUUCCGUUAAAAUUUAAAGUUUUCAAGUUAUUUUCAUUAGUUUUUUUUUUUGCGUCUAAUCAUUUUGAGCAUCUUAAGAAAACCAUCGGCAUCUACAUUCGUUAUACCUUAAAUUUUAGCCGACUAUUGAUUCUGAUUCAGACAUGCAUCCGCAUCUCAGAUUCAACUAUUAAAUUGCUAAUGAAAUGACCUAUGGUUUUGUUUAUGCGUCUAAUGAAUUAUUAAACAUGUAAUUAAGCUCAAUUAACAAGAAGUCACCACAUCAUCGUUGGCUUGGUGGCUACUUGCUACCUAACCUCAACAACUCUUUUCCUUCUCUCUCCAAUAAUUUCUUUACGACUUAAUUAGAUUAAUAGUUCUGUGGUUAUAAGAUAGUUGAAAGAUAGCAUUUGUGGUAAAAAAAAAAAACAUUAUGAUUUAAACCAUGUGAUACAAUAUGUUAGAAUUGAUGCUCAAAAUUGAAAAUUUCGUCAACUUUUUAUUAAUUGUUAGUACAUAAGCCGACCCCACGUGUUAACAAUUAACGGAAAUGUUCAUUUUAGCCUAAUAUGUGUAUAGAGAUUAAAGAGUUCCGUUUUAGUCUAAUAUGUGCAGCUUAUAUACUAAUAAUCAACAACAAAAUUGACGAAAUUUUCAAUUUUGAAUAUAAAUCAUAACAGACUUUACCACAAAAGAUUAGAUCCUAAUUUUUUAACCACAAGAAAUAUUUUUCAACUAUUUUAUAACCACAAAAACUAUUAAUUCAAUUAGGCCUUUAUUUAAUUUCCAAGUAAAUGGCGACCCGGAAUAAAGGUGGGUGUAAUUUCCGAAAUUGAAAAAUAGAAAUAUUUACUAAUUUACCCAUGAACUUGUAUGAAGCUGUAAUUUUUUUUCUGAAUUUUAAUUAGUCAAUUUUCCUUGAACUUUAGUCUUAAGCCAUUUACCUGCUAGAACUUUGAUAAAUAGACAAUUUUUCCCUUGGUGUUAGUUCAUUCAAGAAAUAAACGGUUAAAAUUAAAAUUCAGAGAAAAUUUGAUUAUGUAUAAAAGUUCAAAAAAGUAAUCGGUUAAAAUUAAAAUUAUAAAAAUAAUUGAUUAAUUAUAAAAAUUCAGAAGUUAAUCAACUAAAAUUAAAAUUCAGAAAGCCAACGACAAAUGUGCCUUAGAAAAAUACACAAAUUCACAGCCACUUGAUGCAAAUAAAAUGAACACUCACCAUCAGAUGAUUCAGAUGGAUGGGAUUGGUGGGGCCUCUCCAUAAAAAAGAAAGGAUCAGAGGGCCCUUUGAGUCUUGAAAGUUGAAACGCAUCCACAACACACAUGUUUUUGCUUGCUCAUAUCACGAUUAAUUAACAGCUUAAUAACUUAAUUACGUACAAAAUACCCUUAAAACGAAAGCAUUACAUAUGAGAAAAUAACAAAAACUCGAUUGAAGAUUGGCUUGAAUGAUGAUCGUACAACGAUUUGAGACGUAAUUAACGGUAAUCACUUGGACUUGAAAGGGAUGGCCCUGAUCACAACCACGUGGUACAAAGCUGCAAGUGCUGCCCCAAUGAACGGUCCAACCCAGAAUAUCCACUGCCACAAUGAAAAAUAAAAUAAACUAAAAGUUAGAACAAAAGUUCAGAAGCCAUUGAAUGCGUUUUUGAAAUUGGAAUACAACAAUGGCUUUUGGAGAGUGCUCCCCACAAAAGCACUUUCAUUCAAGAACAGUAGUGCUUCUUGUAAAAGCAGUUUUGGAUCAAUUAGGAAGGCUUACGUGGUCAUCCCAGGCAUGCUUCUUGUUGUAGAUGAUGGCAGCGCCAAGACUUCUUGCUGGGUUGAUGCCAGUUCCGGUGACGGGGAUGGUGGCCAAGUGCACCAAGAACACGGCGAACCCAAUUGGCAACGGAGCCAAAAUCUGUUCAAAACCCAUUCAAAAUUCACAGCCAGUUAAUCACCAAACCAAAUAAAACGCCAACAAAAUAAUAAAAUCAGGAAGUUCAAGCUCAGCUAGGCAAAUGAUCGGAGACUAGACAUGCGUACCGGAACGUGGGAGUCUCUGGCGCUACGCUUAGCGUCAGUGGCGGAGAAAACGGUGUAGACGAGGACAAAGGUGCCGAUGAUCUCAGCACCAAGUCCUUGACCCUUGGUGUAACCAUGGGCAACAGAGUUGGCACCACCGCCCAGCAUCUCGAAGGUGGAGCUCUUCUCGAAGCCCUUCACGACGGCGGCACCGGCGAUAGCUCCGAGGGUCUGCAUAACUAUGUAGAACACCGCCCUGGUCAGCGACAGCUUCCUGGCCAAAAACAGCCCGAAAGUCACCGCCGGGUUUAUGUGACCACCUGAGAUAUAAACAAUAAGAUCAACCCCGUUAAUCAAGAUUUAUUUAUAAUUAAGAAUGGAUAAAUGACACGGCUGCGUUUUAUGGGGGGAAAUUAAUUACCGGAGAUGCCGGCGGUGCUGUAGACGAGGGCGAAGAUGGUCCCGCCAAAAGCCCAAGCGAUUCCUUGAAUCCCGACCGUCGUGCACUUCGACUUCGACUUGACAACGCCCAUCACCGUCAAGAUUGUGAUGUAGAGGAACAGGAAAGUGGCGAUGAACUCGGCGAUCCCGGCCCUGUAGAACGACCAUGACGUCAGCUCGCCGGGCUCGAACAGUGGAGCAGGCGGUGGUUCCUUGUAGUCCUUCCCGUCGUCCUGGCUCUGAGCCGACGUCCCGAUCGGCUGCCUCUCUGAGUACUUGUUCGCUCCCAGCCUAACAUCCUCUUCCUUGCCCUCCAUUAUCGCUUUACGUACAAGAUCAGACCAAGCAGAUAUCGAGCUCUCGGUGACUGAUGACCGUUGGAUCUUUUUGAUCUGAGAGUGUGAGGAAUGGCUGUGUUAUGAGUGGAUUUACAGGGAGGGACUUAUAUAGCACAGCGAGCGCCUGAGUUUUGGAAGCUGGUGAAGUGAGGGAGGGUGGUGGCGGGACCCAACGGCUUUAUUAAUUUUGAUUUUAUUUAACUUAUUUAUUUUUAUUACCAUGUGAGCGACCAAUGAUUUUUAACAAGCUGUGGUAAUUUUUUGCACAGAGUCGUUAAUUUGACAUAAACGACAUAAUAAUAGUAGGUAGUUGUUUAAUUCGUCAUCUAGUCGGAUUAUUAUCAAGUUACAUGUUAAUAAUUUGUUAACAAAUCAUGUUGUUAUCGAAUUAACGGUUAAGAACAUGAUAAGAUAAUAUGUAUAACAUGAAAAUGAUCCAUUUGCUAGGUCUAGACAUUAGCAUGAUAAUUUUAUCAUGACACGUUAAACCAAUACGAAACGACAUGGCUUGUUAAGUAAUCGGAUUGUUAUUGUGUCGGCAGUUAACAACUGUUAAAAUAAUAAAUUUGAUACGAUAUAAUUUGUUAAGAUAACUAGAAAAUGCCUAGAAAAUAAUACAAAACAUGACAAAUAUGAUUCGUUUGUUAGGUCUAAUUUUCUAGGCAUUUCACGAAAAGUGACGUGUAAAUAGGCUAAAGAAAAUUAGUAAGUUACUUUCCACGUGGCGCGAUUGUGUUCGCAAAUUGUAUGAGGUACUGCACCGUCCAAUCACAUCAUCUACAGUUAAAUAGUGCUUCAGACUGCGUAUUUCAAUUGAUGAGAUGAGACAGAACAACGGGUCUAUCAUUUGAAUUUUGGUUUGUUUGACAAAUUGUUGUGCCUAACUCUUAUUAAUGCGUGGGCACGGUUCGGAAUGAAUCCGUUUGUUUCUCAACGUAAGCAAAUUAAUUGGCAGUGAAGUUAUGCAAUGCAAUUUGUUUUAGUUAUAACUAAAUUAAGAAGAGAUAAUAAUCAAAUCACGAUUGAGUCAUUUAAUCGAUUCGAUUUAUAUAUAGGUCGCGUUGCAUCAAAGCAAACUACUUAUAAUUUGGUUCGGUUCGUUUGAAAAUACUUUCUUAGUGCUAAAAUUGAAUCAAACGCGUGAAAUCGGUUUGAUUCAACUAGUUUUGUACCUACUCUUUAAGUUAGUUAUCCGUGAUCGAGCGAGUAACUCUUAAUUGUUUAUUGGGUUAUUAUCUGAAGCAAAAUUCAACAUCUACUAUCGUCUAUAGUUAAGUUUAUACGAUAAUGCUUGGCUCGUGCUUUUAAUUAAUCAAUUUUUAUGCUAACUGCUAGGUGGCAGCAGGUAAAGAAGCCUUCAAUCAUUUAUCAUCUGAUGUGUUUGAUUCUCUCCAUCCAUUUAAUUAUGUUAUUUUUAUUAUAUAUAAAUAAUAUGAUACCAACCCAUGAUUAAUUUUUUCUUCGUUCUGCAAAGGCUGCAAACACUCAAAGGAUAUGAACUGCUGUGUACAAAGACAACUCCUUUCGCUUAAACAACAAAUUAUCAAGGCUGUAAUGGGAUCAUGGAAUUAAAUAUGCUAUAAAAAUUAUGGUACCGCUCCACUAUCACAAUAUGUGGCCUCGCAGUUUUGCGAUGAUUUAUACGGUCGUUGUGUUGAUCUGUUGUGUCUAUUAUGUUUUUGUUAUAAAUUCGUACUUGUAAUAUUUUGUAUGGUAGGAUAGUGUUUGUGGUAGCCGUAUAGGGUUUACUGUUGUUUGUUUCAUUACACAAAUUUACUUCAGAUUAAUUUCUUGGUCACUAGAACUGAUGUCCUCGAUUGGCAACCUUUGUAAUUAUUUGUGAAGUUCAAUGAAAUACCAUUCUAUCGCUUCUUGUAAAAAAGAAAUUCUAAAAAAAUAAAUAAAAAGGCUUGCCAAUGCAUUAGUAAUGGAGUCUCAUAGUUUAGUUUUGUAGUAAUCGCAAUGACGUUUUUGGAUAAUGAAAAAUAAUGUUGCAUGUCGUUAUAUUUAAUCAUCUCCCAUUCUUUAUGGGAUAAUGUUUCCCCCAUUUUUUUGUGCCAUAAUUCAUAGGUUAUAUAUAUAUAGAAUUUGGAGGCAUCACAUGGGGUGGAGCUUUGAUGACCUAGCCCGACGGCCCGUCAUUUGAACGUUUCAAACUCAAAUACAUUUAGAAAUUGAAACGCGUAUGAUUGAUGUCGUUUGGACCACAUGCGCACCAUGGUAGUGGCUGGCUAGUCAGCUUCACAAGUGGGCUCUCAAAUUAGUACUGGAAAAUUUUCUUAUUUUUGCCAAAAGAAAAGAAAGACAUACUUUUUCUUAAAGCGUAUGGCUGAAAAAAGUUAUCUUAAUUAACAUACUAUGUAUUUUUGUUGUUGCCGAUGGGAUGCUCUAUAUCAUAUAGCUUGAAUUGCAUCGCGGAAGGUGUCGCGUGGGAGAUAAAGCUAUGCAAUGUCGCGUUAUUUAGUGAUUUUGUGUAAAUUAUUUGAGACUUCCAUGGCGUAAAAUAGUAAUAAACACACACACACACUAGACUUUACUCAUUAGAAUCAUCACUAUGCAAAAAUCCUUACCGUCUUUAUCACGUCUUUCAUUUUCCUUCUUCAAUUUGUUGCAAAGUAUCAUUAGUAGUAUGAACCUGGCUUCUCUGCCCUCCCACUUUCCAUACACUUCCAUCUAUUUCUAUUUGUACGGUCACGGUUAAGGCACGUCAAUAUUUUAUAUUACUAUUGUUUUUUAUCUUAUUAUCUGUAUAAAAAAAAAUCAAUAUAAAAUAUUGACGUAGCUUAACCGUGACCGCACAAAAUAGGGGGGAUGGGAGUGUAUGGGAAGUGGGAGGGCAGAGAAGCCGGGUCCUAGUAGUAUAGUCAUUUUCAGUGAAUGGAAGAAUGUAGUGAUCGAUGUCAGCUAAAGGAACAUCAAACAAAUUUCGUGUGGGGUAUUCCAAUAUCGCGUAAAAAUUGACCUUUUUUAAACUAUCGUGGUAUUUUGCGUUAAAUCGUAAAAUCUCUUCCGUGACGCGAUAUUUCGCGCUAGAUUGCAAUAUCGAGUGUUUUUUUUUAAACUAUGCUCUAAACUACUUCAUUUCACGAGAAUUGAUUAAUUAAUCUAAUUCAUAUUUGAUGUGAAAUUACUAAAUUGUCAUGCUUAACCUCGCUACGUAGUUGUAAAAAAAUUGAUAUAUUUAUCUUCAAAUGAAGACUAUGUAGGAUGGAUAACAAUGACACAAGAGACAAUUAUUCUUUAAUCAGAAACAUAAAUAAUAUAAUCAAAUGGCUCAAAAUCUUUUAACACAUGUUGACAAAUCGCUGAUUACAUAUUUUGAUUCUUAAAUCAUGAUUAGGUAGCUGCAGCCGCCCGUUGGAUUAGGGCCACUACUUUGCUUCUUGCUGAUUUGGCAGCACAUGGUGUUUUCUGGAGUAAGCUUGACCAGCUACUCUAUGCAAACAAAUGAAUACAAACGACAUUAGAGAAAGAAGAACCGAACACAGAACUUAAGGUCAGUGGCGAAGACAGAAAAUCAAAUUACAACGAUCUUUAGGCUAUAGAAAGAAAUUAGUUUUUGAAGUAUAAUUUUUUUUUUGUACUCGUAUGGAAAAUUUUGAUCAAACAAGAAUGGUGGAGCUUUAAAUUUUGUAUGAAAAAUUUAGUACUGAAAUGAUUAGAUCGUAAGAGACAAAUUUAGUAUUGAAAUGAUUAGAUCGUAAGAACAAAACUUGUUUAUAGAUGUUGAUAAAAUAAAAAAAAAACACAUUCGAACAAAAGUUUAAGAUGAUGACUUUAAAAUUUGAUAUUGCUCUAGACUGUAUAUGCCUUUGUUUUAUAUUGACGGGCCAAAAAUAAGGCAAAUUAUAAGGGGUUUUUUUUCCUUUCAAUUUAAAAAAAAAAAAAAAUCUAGAAAGUGUUGGAAAGUGUUGGAAGACUAGAGAGUCCCGAGGCUAGAUGGAGUUGCAAAACCCCACUAACCAAUAAACCACAUUUUUGUAAAAGCAUGUUGAGAGUACAUACAAAAGGUUAAAAUUUCAAGAGAGGUCUGGAUUAAUAGCAUUGGUCUCCAUGUGGUUCUGUCACUGCUUAAGAUGUUGAUGUAUUGAUUAACGUCCAUAGCUAAUUGAGUGAUGUUGAAAAUUUUCAUAUAAUGAGAAUUCAUCUACGAUAAUAUCUCAAAUCACUAAUAAAUAUCGUGUAAAAAAUUUAAACACGUAAUAAUAUACCAUUGAUUAUGACCAUAACAUCUGCUUUAGAUAAAAAUAUAAUAAUUAUAAAACUGCUGCAACCAAAAAGGUCAGAUGUUCUAUCAUAUUCACUUCAUGACACAAAAGAUGGAAACAAGUGAUUGGGUAAUUAGCAUGCGACUCAAAAAGAUAUAUAAAAAAGAAAAGAUUACUUAUUAUGACAGAUCUUGAAACUUAAUUAGACUUUGGUUGCAAGCAACAGACUAAUGAAUAUCCUUUGUGGCAGACAUUAUAAUCAAAGCAUGCAAUCAUAAUUAAUCUCAGGUAAACUACAAAUAAUGAGACUUAGUUGGUCAUGUUGGGAUAUUUUCGAUACAAACUUUAGUCUGCCCUCACUCCUACAAAAUUUACAUUUUUAUACUAUUGUUUGGACCUGAUAUUAUGUCUUCGGCCUGUGUAAUCAAGGUCAUUGGAUAAAUAGAGUUCUAGACCGUUGAAUGUGAGAGAUGCUAGUUAUUGUUGGGGAUAUUUGAUCAUAAUAAUUGUCUCUUAAUAACGUAUUGAAUUAUCUUUGCACUUUCUUGUUGUUUGGGAUUGAAAUAACGGUAAAAAAUGAGUUAACCCAAUUUGAAAAGCCAUGAAACUCGGCCCAAUAAUAAUUCCUCUAGCCAAUGGGCUUUCAGCCCAAAAGAGGAUUGAUUUGACAGAGUUCUUAUGGAAGUAGGAUUGUGAAAGGAUUAAGUUUAGACGUGGCUCGGUCGAGGUGAACUGAAUUUGCCAAGGAUGAGAAAGAGCUCUAUUUAGAUGUGAAUAAUUCUAAAGAUCAAAAUUCAUUCUUCGUCCGCCCAAUCUCAGUUAUCAGUUAGUACGCCCGCAUUUACAAAAAGAAUGUAGUUAGCUCAUAGUUACUCAGCCUGCGCCACGUAAACUUUGUAAUUCUUAAAGUCAAAAAACUAUAGGGCAAUGUUAUUGAUAGUUCAAAAAUCUCAUUCUAUACUCCUCAAAAGUGUAUUUUUAUUUCCAAAUAUAGAAAGUAAGGAGUGUAGAAUGUGAAUUUUGGAGUGCUAAUAACAAUUUCCAAACUAUAUAUUAAGUAAUUAGCUAGGCAUUCGGAUCUUGGAUUCCCUCUAACAAGCAAGAAAUAAUAUAACUACAUAAGCGCGAGCCAGAAACACAAAAAUAAACCAAUCACAUAUACUUAACCAACACAAUAAUUUACUAGUUUACUUAAUAUGAGCUAUCUAUCUCCCUGAGUUGCUAUCAUAUGCAUAUUUUCACGGAGUUAAAUUACAAUUUAGAAGUGUUCAAGUAUCUUCCUCACAUGUAAGUAGUCUUUACUACAAUGGUGGAAAGAUGUUAAACUCUUGCAUGAUGGCUUGAGUUUGAACCCUAUCAGUGACUAACCUUACAUCUAACGUAAAAAAAUCGAUCAUUUGACGGGAAAAAAAAUAAAUAAAAAAAUCUUCCUCACUCACUCGUAAUCGCUCGUAAAUAGGGUUCACAGAUCAUGAAUCAUAUGACUAGUAGAAAACCAAAACACUGCAACUUUCAUGCAGUCCUCGCUCCAGUCACUCAACGGGAGCUUUCAAUCUUUCCAUAAGAUCCGACCGCUCACCUACACUACACCGACCCGUUAUUCCUCAACAUAUAACUAAACAUGCAUCAACUAAAUCAUUCAUUGAUUUCUUAUACAACUCUAAAAAUGUAUAGGCAAUCUAACAUAUAUUAUCAUGUGUCUAUCUCUCUUUUUCUGCACUGUAUAAAGUCGCUCUCCUAGCUAGGUUCUUAAAAUGGACGUGCACCGUCAAGUUUACUAUUUUAUGGGCCUCCUUUGGCAUUUCCUGUCUAAUCAUAUCGAACUAUUAGGGUUUAUUUACGAUGUCCUGUAUCGACCUAUCGGUCUGGAUCUGGUUGAUGUACAUUGCAUUUAAUUUGUAAAUUUAAUUUUUUCUUUCUUUUUUCAAGUGGGUUAUUCUUAUCAUUUAUUUAUGUCACUUCUCUAAGGCUUUUUAUAUUAGCAUCCCACAAAAUGUUGAAUGCACCCCACAUUAAAACAUAAUAUUAAUGACUUAUUUACUCUAUUAUGUAAUGACAAUUUUGACCUUAUUAGGUUUAAAAAAUAAUAAUAAUAUUAACUUUUAACGUAUUAUUUAUCUCAUUCAACUAUCAAAACUCCUCACACCCUCCAUUGUUGAAUAAAACUCUAAGCAAUGAAACUACAAACAUGUUGAUUAAGAAAAAUUAUUUUUGACGAAUGGAACACGAAAUUGAUGUUUUGAAAACUUUGAAAUCAUUAUUAUUGUUAUUGAUAAACAUUCAAAUGAACCUAAACAUUUUUUCAAAUCAUUCAAUUUCAAAUCAUUCGACAAACUAAAGUUUAGAUGGUUUGAAAUCAUUCGGCAAAAUUAAAAAUGAUUGUUAUAAGAUUUGAGAAAUGUGGGGUGUAUAAAAAAUGUGAGGUGUGUAUAGAAAAUGUAAGGUGUAUAUUAAGAAUGUGGGGUGUGAGGGUAUUAUGGGAAAGGAGGUGGGGUGUAUUAAGUAUGUGGGGUUUAUUCAACAAUUUAUGAGAUGCUAAUAUAAUAAGCCUUUCUCUAAUAGUGAUAGAGUCUACCAACGCAUGUGGAUCUAAUCUUUAUUAUAAAAAAAUAAAAAAAAAGAUAGUAAAAAUACAAUUUUUUUUUUCCUUCUCAUGACGAAACCACCAAUUCAAGAGAAAUGUUGUCCAAUAUUUGGGAAGCAAUAAUGCUAUUUAAGUAAGGACCGACUUUCACCGCCCAUUGCAUCAUUCUUCCUCCCUUGUCUUUGACUCGUUGUAAUGCGCAUGGAAUUCAUGUUUUUCAAUUCAAUUAUUGACCACUGACCGACUCCACUCUGGCCACUAGCGCGUACCCAUUCACGUUCAGUCCAUCGACAUGUCGCAUGACGCAAGAUAUUUGAAUAAAAUGUCUGUACGAAGCUGAGGAAUGAAUGAGUAGGAAGUUUAAAGUAAUUGAUCGAGUAACGUGGUUUGCGGACUUCAUCUUUACCAACUAAAAUAUACCGACACUAAAUGUUUCGUUUUUCCAACAAGAAGUGGUAACGGUAUUUCAUUGAUCGUCGCUCAUAAAUACAAGGGUGCCAAUUGUGUGCCCUGCUCCCUAAACCAUUGAAUAUGUUAGUGAUGCUGAACAAUGUGGCGUGUGAAUUUCAACUUUUCGGACGGAAUUAACAAUUACAGGCAGCGUUUUGGGCUAAAGAAGCCGGUAGGCCCAGUUAACUGUGUGGACCAAGGUCUGAGAUUGAAAUCGGUCUGUCACUAUUUGGACUAUGAUCCAUGACUUUGAGUCCUUCAUUGGAUGAGGCCUUCGUAAUAUUUUUGUUUUAUGACCGAUAUGAUAAUUUACAUUAGAUUUAUCUUGUUAUGAGGAGAGAAAUUUCAACACGAGAUCUUAGAUAUAAGGACAAAUGCUCUUAACCAAUAAAUCGUACUACUAAUUGGUUAUACAUGUAUAAUUUUACGAAAUACCAAACAUGUGACGAAGUGAAUACUCUUUCUUUAUGUCUCUCCUAGGAUACGAUCCUCUUCGGAUCCCAUCCUUCUAGAUCCUGGACCUUACCCGCCCAGCUGAAUUCCUCCUAAUUUGAGGUAAUUUAUUCACCACUUGUCUCAUUGACGGUUUCACUUCAUUGCCCAAUGCAUAUUUCAGUUAAUCUAUGAGUUUUUACCUUGUCGAAAUGCGCAAUUUCAGUAUGACGAGCUAAAGUACAUCGUCAACGACUACUACAAUAUUGCCAACUUCGACGAUACCAAUGCUUUUACUGGUAACCAGCUCCGGAAAAGGCACGACGCCAACUCGGACUUUGAAGAAUAAGGAUAUGAAGGAUUCAGAUGAAUGAAAUCUAAAGAGAAUCCCAACACAAAAAUAUCUUGUCUCUCUCAUCGAAUAGUAGUAUAUGUUUGGUUAAGGCUUUGUUCUUUCUUUUUUAAUUCCCCUCCUGACAGGACCUUAUAAUUCAAGAGGUAGAUUGUCUGCCCUCAUGUUUGGGUGCUCUUUCCAUCCCCUUCUAUUUUAUGCUGUCACGGUUAAGUUACGUUAACAUUUUAUAUUAAUUUUUUUUAUAGAGAUAAUAAGACAAAAGACAAUAAGAAUAUAAAAUGUUAACAUAGCUUAACUGUAACGUACAAAUAAAAGAAGAUGAGAAUGGUAUCCAACAAUAGUGGAAAUUCUUGGAAUUGACAUUUGCGAUGCUCAUUCUUGUGCAAUCUGAAAAUCCAGUAGCGUCAUCUGGGUUUUUUCAACAUUUAGACUAAUAUGCACACAAACAUUGACUUUCCAAUCGGAAAAGUUAAGCGUAAAUAUUUAAGUUAAUUAUGACAUUUGAUCUCAUCUUAAAAUCGUUAAAUUUCUGAUCUAAAAUAUAAAUAUUUAAGUUAAUUAUGACAUUUGAUCUCAUCUUAAAAUCGUUAAAUUUCCGAUCUAAAAUAUUGACAUGUAACUUGUGUUUGGAGUUAUUUUUGACAUUUUAUUUUAUUUUUAUUUAAUUGUUUGCGAUGGGCAAUAACGUAGGAACAACAAUAUAAGUUUAAUAUUUAUUAUUAUUUUAGAGGACAACUAUAUUUCAAGAACAUGUGAAGAUAAACUGGAUCAGAAUUAUGUCAUGUCGCUACACUAAGUUUGAUUUUUUGUUUAAGAAUAAAAAAUAUUAUCUAAUUGCCUAAUCAUUAUCAUUUUUUAGUUUGUAGAAACCCUAGAUUUUUUUGCUUUGUGCAAGACAAAUUUUUAGAAAGCGAUUGGAGAGUUGAAAUGUCCCAAAUAUCUCUAAAUAGUCAAUACUAGUUAUGUGUAAGGCACACAACUUUUUCUUUUUAAAGAAAAAUCUAACAAAAUUAGAAACAUAUGAUAAAAUAAUUUCAAAAAUUUGACACCAUAAAUCGCUUGAAGUUUUAGUUGAUAUAUGAUAUUGUUACAGAAGACAUGUAGAACAUGUGAUAUUGACACGAAACGACGUCGUCAGGCGCAUUGAAAAACUGGCAAAGGGAAGCGUCCGUUUUGACUACCGGGCAAAAUAAAAAAAAAUCCUUUUCUCUCUUUCAAACAUGGCGUGCUAUUUUUCCAUUACCAACGAUAAAUUUGACAAAAAUCCGCUACGUCAACGUCAUCGACGUCGUACACGUUCGCUCACACCAAUCUUUCCGUCCACCCGUUCACACCCUAACCAAACCUCCUCCCCCCAGUCACAGGAGAUCCCAAGCGACAACUUAACUCCUCAUCAGCCACCUCCGAUCUGAGAACUAAACGUGAGUGCGGCCGUUGCUUACAGCGUCGACGAUAAUAUCAAAGGCUCCAGCUGACCCGUCACAAUACCCAAUCUCAUCUCAGCCAUCCAUUACUUCUCGUCUUAUUAUUACACCAGCGCCACACCGUAUCAAUUUCUCUCUCUCUCUCUCUAUCUCUCUCUCUCUCUGUGCCGGCGAGGACGAAUGCGAAGUGGGGGAAGACCUCGCGACGGCUGAGUUUCUGACUUGUAACUCGUUCGGACUCGGACGCAUCGGCGCGGGCCUUGGCGCGCGAGGUUUGUUGCGACGGCAAAGGUGGCAAAAACCACGGCGGCCAUGAGAGGGAACGUGUGGAACCGUCGGACGGUACAGAGGCUGCGGCAGUUGCUGAUCUCGACCGUUGGAUCGAUGAAGGUGAAGCUUCUGCUGUGCUGUUGCAUCGGAUUCACGCUCAUCGUGCUCGCCAGUCGAGCUUCGGAUUUCAUGGGAUGGACGAGUCACACUGCGGCUCUGGAACGGUUCUCGGAUUCCCGGUUCGUACGGUUGCUUAGAUUUUUUUCCAAAAACUCUACAUAUCCGUAUUAUUCGCUAAUUAUUUAAUUAGGCAAACUUCCACUUGCACAUAACUGUUAAUCAUUAUAUUUUUAGUAAAUAAUUAAGAUCGUUGUUUAUACUUUGAUGUUCUACUUUCUGCUAAUAUCUAUAUUUAGAAGGACUGAUUCCAAAGAUUGAUUAGAGGGAAGAAAACGGCUUGGUAGUCUGCAACAAUUUCGUUUUUUCGAAUAUGAGUGUUUGAUGCUCUGUUUAUACCGGUAUUGUUCGGGUCUGUUAUGAGUUGUGGUGCAUAUUAUGAAUUAUGGAUGUUGUAGCAGGCAUGAUUCCGAUGGAAACGGAACAUUAGCUAUUCGAAGAUUUGGUCACUUUUCUGCUGGUUUUUUAGCCAGAAUGGUCGCUGAGAUUGACAUAACUCCUCACUUUGGUAUUUGAUAUUGAAAAUCGAUAGAAGUGGUCUUGAGUAUGAUUGACGGUGGACAAACCCAGGACAACUUGUAUCGAUUUUCAAUGUUAGGGACCAAAGUGAGGAGUUAUGUCAAUCUUUUUGGCUAAAAAACCCUGCUUCAACUCAUUUUCCGAAUUGGAUAAGAUUGGGAAGAUUAAGCUAGCUUUGUGUUGUUCUCAUUUGCUUCUUUAAAGAGCACACUCCUAGAAAAUUUUCAAUUGGCUUAUUGUUGAUUGUAUCAUAGUAGAGAGAUACUGUUCAUUAAGCAUCCAUGCUGAAAUUUGCAAUUUGUAUGCAGGAAAGGAUACUCUAUUGUAAUGAACACAUGGAAGAGAUAUGAUCUUCUGAAGCAGUCUAUUUCUCACUAUUCUAGAUGUCCUCGGCUUGAUUCAAUACAUAUUGUGUGGAGUGAGCCAAGUCCUCCGUCAGAUUCUCUCAGAAAAUUUCUGGACCACAUUGUACAUCUGAACACUAGAGAUGGGCGACAAGUUGAAUUGAAAUACGAUAUCAAUAAGGAAGACAGUUUGAACAACAGAUUUAAAGAAAUUAAGGAUUUGAGAACAGAUGCCCUUUUUUCAAUCGAUGAUGAUGUUAUAUUCCCUUGUUCUUCAGUGGAAUUUGCUUUCGAUGUUUGGCAAAGUGCAUCGGAUACAAUGGUUGGCUUUGUGCCUCGUAUGCACUGGAUUGAUCCGGUAUGCCUCAAUAUAUACAUUUUCUUGUUAUUUAGAGAGAGUAUUAUCCAACAUUCUUGCUGUCUUCUCUAUAUCUUAAGCUUCUAUGCUGGAAAAUUCGUAUAAAUUUCUGUUUGAGGUAGAAAGUUGGUUUUGAUCUAUUUGAGCUCGAAACUAGGUAUUGUUCUUUACUUUUUAGGCUAGCCAACGUUUACUGAAGAAACACCGUUUCUUAUUAACAAUUUUGCAAACUCUGUAUGGCACACUUGGUCAGCUGUCUUACCAAAUAUAUGCUCACUGUGCAGAAAGGUGAUAAGAAUCACUACAUAUACGGUGGAUGGUGGUCGGUUUGGUGGACAGGUACAUACAGUAUGGUACUGUCUAAGGCAGCCUUCUUCCACAAAAAGUACCUAAGUUUGUACACAAAUGAAAUGCCAGCAUCAAUCAAAGAGUUUAUAACCAAAAACAGGUUUGCACUUUUGCUUUGUUCAUCUGUUUCUUUCUUUUCGAAUGCUUUCAUCUUAUGAGCUCUCUUUGCGGGUGUGCCGGUGUGCAGUGCGUGUGUUUAGCAAAAGUUUUUUCUUAAAUAUGGGGUUUGAUUUCACCAGGAACUGUGAAGACAUUGCAAUGUCCUUUCUUGUAGCAAAUGCAACUGGUGCUCCCCCUAUAUGGGUGAAAGGUAAUCAUAUAUCCUCUGCAAUGAAAUUGUGUUCGUUUUGGCUUUUGAAAACUUGGACAGGAUGUUUCUGCAUAUUGUAUUUUCACUUGUUGCAUAUCAGAAAGCGCUUUUGCAGUACCUUUGUCCGUUCACCGUUCAUUUUUCAUUUCUAUUGUGGUAUUUUCUUUCCUGAUUGCUUAUGUCUCGCUACGCAUUACUGUACUUUUCAUUCAGGUAAAAUAUUCGAGAUUGGUUCAACUGGCAUCAGUACCUUAGGAGGUCAUACUGAAAAAAGAACCAACUGCGUCGAUAGGUUUGUUGCCGGGUUUGGACGGAUGCCAUUGGUACCCACUUCCGUGAAGGCCGUUGACAGCCGCAACAUCUGGUUUUGGUGAUUCCACAGCACGCUUACAUAUUCCUCGAUCAAAUCCUCGAACAACAAGAAUUUCCACACUUUCAACCGGUUCUUCUUUGUCCCUCAGAUGUAUAAUAUUGAAUUCUACGAAAUGUAUGCGUUUUUGUAACAGCAGCCAGUUUAGUGCGCUCAUGUAGAUUGAUAAUUCUUGUAUUCUUACCGUGUAACACAAGGCAGGCAGUCGCUAUAUGGGUAAUGAGAUAGGUCUUUCCGUGGAAAUCUUCUUACCAUUUCGGCCGAACGGUUGCGAAAUCGUAUCUUCUUAUACAAAAACUUCAUCCAAACUCAGCGUCAGAUCAUUCUUAUUGCGAUCAAACUGGAUAACAAAACUGAGAGAUUUCCAUCAACUGAUGGGUUGCAUGUAUUUAUAAUAAUUUUGAGAUUACAUCAGGGGUUUAUCAACCCUAUUUAGACGGCAACAUUUGAAUUUGAACGAUACAACAUCUGUGAAAUCAAACUUUCAAACAUUGAAAAAUAUGCUAGACCUAUCAGAAUUAUCCUUGGAUAAGGACUGCAUUCCUGAAUAACAGACUUCAGAGUUUAAACAUGAGCUGGAUUCUUGAUAACUCUGACUUGGUCUAACAUACCCGUCAUAAUUUGUCAAUUAGUUUUAUGGUGAAACCUCAAUUUCAUCAGUUACCCUAGGAUGUACUGAGAGGGAAGCAAGUAUCUUCGGCGCCAGUGCUCCAGAGGAAAUUGGCAUAUCUGGAGGCGUAAUAGGGAUUGUCUGGCUCCUCUGCCACUGCUUGCUGGUAUCUCUCUUCUGCACCCCACAGGUCUUUCCUUACUAUCCACAAGAAGUCCGCGUACCGGAUCAAAGCCUCAGCGUCUGGUUUCUCCCCUUGCACGGCACGCCUGAAGCACUCCUCGGCCCUGCAAACGCAAACAUAGAUCACACAACACAGGUCAAACAAAAUUACACGACAAUUUGAGUCCUAUCGUAUGAAAAGCAAAGAAACAAUUUGAUCCUAACCGAAAAUCCAACUCCGGUAGAGGUCUCGAUGCUACAAAAUCAUCACAAUUACAUCAUGCUUAGCUGCUCAAAUUCGAAACCAAAUCAUUUACAUAGAAAUGUCGCUUGAAGCAUCGAAAAACCUAACCAAAUCUAGUCGUUUCCCAAUGAUUUUCGGUCAAGUUAGAUUAUGCAAAAUAGUAAGCAUAUUGAAGCAGAUAGUUUGAUAAAUGAUGCUCACCUAUCGUGAUCGCGAGCCACGACAUGGAGGAAUUGUGCAUAGUUUGAGAGCAGAAGUGCAUUCUGAGGAUCCUGAGCUAAACCCAUCUGGUACAAAAGGUCAGUCCUAAAGUAGUGCUCAUGAUAAUCCGGUUCGAUAUUCACAGUUAUCGGUGACACGAAUUGCUGCACCGUUGCGUGAUCAAGAGCCUCAUCCCUCAUUUCUGACUGCCUUCUCGAAGCUUCCUCCAUCACAGAGUUCCACAACUUCACAUCCUCCUCUGCAGUGAACUCCUUAUCAUUGAACAAGGAGACACCAUACAUCUUCUCAAGAUCAACAAUGGCAUGCCUGAUUGAACUUUCCGAGGUCACAUUGUCAAGAAAAUCGGCCUUACUGCCCUCAUUCGAGGUCUUUUUCACAACCCUAGUAGAAUCGUUAUCGGAAAUAUAAUCGGGUUUCGAGUAGGGUUGUUCCUCUGUCUCAGUCUCGGUCAAAGUCUCGGCCAUAACAGGCAGAGGUGCUGCAGCAACAACAUUGCAAUUCAUCGAAUACACACUGAAAUUCGCCAGCAAGAUCAUCACGUAAACCAUCAAAGUCGGCGACCCCGAAAACACCUGCUGGAACAACCAUACAAAUGACAUGCUCAUCUCUCUCUUCUGCACCGUCGCUAUCACCUCCUGCAAAUCUUCAGAGUACAAACUUUCCCUUAUACUCAAAGCGUGGCUAUGGAGCUCAUGGAUUAUAAACACCAUGGAAGAGAAUGCCUUGUUCAGGGAGCAAGAAGUAAUCUCCCCUGCUCCUCCUUUAGGACCCUCUUCCCUUUGCUGCCGCUGCUUCUUCUUGAUUAGCCGGAGCGAAACCGGAAACUCGAGGCUGUUGGCCUUUCUUUCCAUGGCGGUUCUGACGAUUUCGCUUCUCUCCGGCCAGUCCGGCGGCUCCGGAUGAAUCCCGAGCAGAGAGGGUUCCAACGCACUGAACUUGAAGCUUGAAAACCGCGUCGAAAAGCCGCCGCCUUUGCUGUUUUCGCCUUCUGGGUAAGUCAAAAUCGGAGAGAUAUUCGAGGUCUUCGACGCCACAAAAGCCGGUUCCUCGACGUUCUCGUCACCGUCCUCGGAAAGAUUGAACCUUUGCGCCAAUCCCUCAAUCUGGUUCGACAAUUCUUCGUACGAGAAAUCAUCAAACUUUGAUCUGCAAGACUGGUUCGAAGUACGUCGACGUUUCAAAUCACCCGACCCGGAAGAGUUUAACCAACGAACGAACCCGCAACCCAGAGCUCCACUGCUUCUUCCACAUGGUUUUGUCACAGAAGGGAAAGAAACCGAAACCCACGACGCUUUCGACGAAGAAGAAGAAACUGGUGCUGAAAUCUGCAUCGUGCUCUGCCAGCUCUUAGAACAGGGUACGAUUCUGGAACCCAUAUCUCGAAAUCAACGAUCAGAAUUUGGAGAAGACGAUUGAGAAAUAUGAAAUACGGACAGGCCCAAAGCCGAAAAUUGCAAGGAAGAAGACGAGUGGGAAAAUGGAGAAAAAGCAGUUCAGUUCACACUGAUAAAGUGACAUGGGAACUCCCGUGUGCAACAAAAAGUGUAGCUGCUGGAGAUAUUUUUAAGAUAAUUUUUUUUUUUUUUGGAUUUUUUUGGAUCCUCCAAGAAGUGUCUAACUGGGUUCUAGAAGCCUCUUGAUGAAUAAGUUGCUUUUGCUUAGUAUCCAACCUGACAAAAACGCAUAAACACAUUCUAAAUUUCUAAUCAUGUUAAAAAAAUUCAAAACCUUUGAAAUCCAAAAUCGAUAAGGAUUUGGAUAUUAGCAUAUAACUCUUCACUGUUCAGUGAUAUUUAAAAUAUGAUACAUUUGGUCUCUGAAUCUGUUCAACGUCGAUUAUUUUGGUCAUUCCGUGAAAAUCUCUGUUAAAUAAGGAGAAAAUGGCAAAAAAAUUUCACGAAAAAACCAAAAUGAUUGAUGGUCGACGAAUUCUGAUACCACUUCUAUCGAUUUCAAAUUUUAGGAACAAGGUGAGUAAUUAUGCCAGUCUCAUGAACUAUUUUGGCUAAAAUUCCAAAUAUAAAUUACCGAACAAAAACAAAAGAUGUGCAGAAAAAAAGGAUGCAGUUGCAAAAAAAUUUGUUGUAUGAUAGAGAAAUAAUUUUCGCACUCAGAUUUCGACAUUAUGCACUUGUCUUGCUCUUUCUACUUAAAUAUAUCAAACGGAAAUCAACGGAAAUGAAUGUGAAUAUCACACAAUCCACGACCUCAAAUUAUUGAAAAAGAAAAUCCGAAGAAAAAUUUGGAAAACAAGGAAUGAAAAAAACAAUGUGUGAGAUGAAGAGAACAUUACAUGAUGGGAGACGAUUAUUUGGAGAUCAUUUCAUGAUUUCUCUAAACCAUUGGAGCCAUCGAGGAGCAGACAACCUCACCUUCAAAUUUGUACUUGUAUUUUCCUUCUUUUCUUUUCUUUCUGUUGGAAUUGACAGAGAGACCCAAAAAUUUUGUUGAGAAAAAAUGGGCAAAAGAUGGGAAGAACCAGAAUAGGUUACAACUUUUUCAGGUUCUUUGUUUGUUGGCCGUAGAAAGGUAUCACACUUACGUGGACAAUUCCUAUUGGUUCAUUUCGAUGAUCAAUUACUUUAAGAUUUUUUUCCCUUACCACCGUAUUUAUCAUGUUUGAUGAGUUUAAAUUUCGAGAUUUAUACAGUUGAUAAAUACAAAUUUUAAAAUUUAAACUCAUAUAUUAGUGAUAAAUAAAGGGGUGUGAAUUACAACUACUUAAAGAUGAUCAGCAAAAAUAUGCUCACUACUUUAUAUAAAUAAGUUCGUAAAUAAUUUUUUCGAAAAAAUAAGUUCUUAAAGUUUUUAGUGAGUGUAACCUGAGACUUGUGGUUUCAAUACAAAUAUUAUUCGUCAUCGUCAUUCGAGCUGAACUUGAAUUCUUUCUGUCACAUUGAGAUAAAUUUAGUGAAUUUAAUAACUUUGUGUAUUGAAAAAUAGUUUAGGAAUUAAAUUUUAAGUUAAUUAAAUAAAAAGAAAACUAAUAAAAAGAACUUGAAAAUUUUGAAUUUUAACGAAAAGAACAAAAUAAAUAGUAAAGUGAAUAGUAUCAGGAUUAACUUUUUAUUUUUUAGUGUAAAAAUAUGAUUUUUCGUUAAAGUAAACAGUACUGAAAGUUUUUCGUUAAAAUCAUCUUAAAUGAAUUAGUUUAUAAAAAUAAAUAAAAAUCCAAAAUUUACAAGUUUGCCAGAAAACAAAGGGAUUAUCUUUUCCGUGUAUAAUGAUUGCAGUCGGUAAGUUUCUUUUGAUAGAAAAAGGUUACAAAUUUGUGGAGUAUGUCGUCACAGUACCGAGUCACAUGCUAGGAGUCAGGACCAUGUUUUUCUCCAGAUGCAGCUGCAGUUGUCGAUGCUACCGACUCAACUACACACGUCUCACCACGAUACGUGGACAUCUGUUGCUGUGCGGUUGGCUCCAACAAAUUGUUUGCACCGCAGAAGUAAAAAGAAAACCAAAUUCAAAACCUAAAAGAAGAAAAUCAUGAAACUCUUGGAUUGGAAAUUGCAACCCAAAUGUACAAAGGAAUGGCAAUAUCUUGAUAGGUUGGCUUGUAAAAAAAAUGGUCAAUAGACCUAAACUGAUAAGAAAAACACAUUGGAAAAAUCUUAACAAUCAAUGAGAAAAACACCUUGGAUUAAUCUAAUUUUUGUGCGUGUGUGUUCAAAUUGUUCCCAGUAAAAAAAUAAGCCCAAAACCCACUCGGUAAAUAUAGACAAUGAUGUUCCUUAUCUUUGUAAGCAAUAACAUAAAAGAGGUAACGACAAAAGGAGCAGGCGGUCGACGUGUGGGAUCCCAGCCUGGAAUUUCCAGGGUUGCGUCAUGCGUGAGCAAAAUUCCCAUAUUUUAUAUUUUCCCAAGCUCAAGCUCAGCCGCCCCAUUGACCAAAAACAAAAAAGGCUCAGCCGCCUCAGCAUUAUUCACCAAUAAGUUCACAGGUCACAAGCUACGAUUGUGGAUCCAAAAAUGGAGCAAAGCAAAGGCAGGAGAGUCAUCCUCUUCCCACUGCCCUUCCAAGGGCACAUAAACCCUACGCUAGAACUGGCCAACAUUCUGCAUUCCAAAGGCUUCUCCAUAGCCAUCAUCUACACCAACUUCAACUCCCUCAAUCCUUCAACCCUAAAUCCACACUUCACCUACCAUUCAAUCCCUGUUGACUUGACAGAAAACGAAAACUCCAUCAAGGAUCCCACCCUUCAUCUUUCUAUUCUAAAUGCUAAAUGUGUUGAGCCUUUCAGAGAAUGCUUGGCCGGGUUGUUAUCCGACGAUGUUAAUUCGGGAGGACCCCAUUGCAUGCUUGAUCACGGAUCCUAUCUUCGACUUCACUCGAUCGGUUGCAGAGAGCUUUAAGCUGCCGAGGAUCGUGUUAAGGACCGGGGGUGCCGCUUCCUUCGCUGUUUAUGCUGCAUUUCCACUUCUCAAGGAAAAGGGUUACCUACCAAUACCAGGUACAAUCUCAAGCCAACAAAACCCUAUUAUCAAAUGUUUUUUUCUCAUCGUUGUUACUAAUAAAUGCAAUAUGAGUAGAUUGAAAACACCACACCGAGACUAAUGACUCGUUUCAAAUUAUUUUUAUACGUAGCACUUUUAUUCUUUGUUCAUAAGAGAUUAUGCAAUAUGUACUUUUAUUAUAAACAUGUCAUUAUUAAAAAAGAAAAACUAAUGAAAAUGGAUUGAAAACUUUGAGUUUUAAUGAUAAGGAUAAAAUAAAGGGUAAAGUAAAUAGUACCAGGUUUGAUUUUUUAGUGUAAAAAUAUGGUUUUCAUUAAAGUGAACUGUUGGCUUUUUGUUAAAACUCCCUAUUAAAAACUCAGGUGAUUCUUUGGAAAAAAAAACUUCAAAGUGAUUAUUAUUCUAGUUCGUCUUCUUCUUCUUCAUAAAUCACUCUAUAGAUCCAAAAAUGUUUUUGUUACCAGAAAACACUUUUAACACUUCUAGAAGUGAUACUAUUUUGGCACUUAGACAACUUAUCCAUAUUUGAGUUAGGCUAAUUAGUCAGUUUAGCAUUUUUAUUCUUUGCUCUACCUCCUCAUAAAUUAGCAUUUUAGGAUAUGCAUUAAAAGGCAAAAUAUAUAUACUUGCUAGGAACCUUAUAUUUGGCUUUUUAUUUUGACAAUUAGAUUCUCGACUAGAAGAGCCAGUGACGGAACUUUUACCUAUCAAAGUUAAAGAUCUACCAAUGAUGGCUGAUUGUGACCCUGAAGAUUUCUAUCAACUGAUAACCAACAUGGCAAAUGAACCCAAGGCUUCUCAUGGACUCAUCUUCAAUACUUUUGAAGAUCUUGAAGGACAAGAACUUGCCACACUUCGCCAAGAAUAUUACCCCAAUAUUCCAAUUUUCUCACUAGGGCCAUUUCACAAGUGUGGCCCUACAACCUCUUCUUCUUCAACUAGUUUGUUAGCACAAGACCAAAGUUGCAUUUCAUGGCUAAACACUCAAGCGCCAAAAUCUGUUGCUUAUGUUAGCUUUGGGAGCAUUGCCGAGAUAGAUCAAGUUCAAUUUUUGGAGGUUGCUUGGGGGUUGGCCAACAGUGGCCAACCUUUUUUGUGGGUGGUUCGACCUGGAUUAGUUCAAGAGUCGGAUUGGCUUGAAGCGUUGCCUGACGGGUUUCUAGAAGCGUUGAACGAGAGGGCCCAUGUCGUGAAAUGGGCUCCACAAAAAGAAGUGUUGGCCCACCCAGCAGUCGGAGUCUUUUGGACACACUGUGGUUGGAAUUCUACAUUGGAAAGCAUUUGUGAAGGCGUACCUAUGAUUUGUACGCCAUGUUUCAGUGAUCAAAUGGUGGAUGCAAGAUUUGUGAGCGAUGUUUGGAAGGUAGGGUUGCAAUUGGAGCAUGGGAUUGAGAGAGGUGAGGUUGAAAGAACAAUUAGAAGACUGAUGGUCGAGAAAGAAGGGGAAGAGAUCAAAGAGAGAGCCUUAAAGUUGAUGGAAAAGGCAAAUCUUUCCCUCAAAGAAGGUGGCUCUUCAUACCAAUCUUUAGAUGGCUUGGUUAAUCAUAUUUUAUCCUUAUAAAUCGUUUGUUUUUGAAGAUGGUAAUCCAUCAUCUUUAUCAUAUCCUUUGGAAUUUUUCCAUUUUUUUCUCUUGCCCGCUUACAAAUGGUUAAUUAUCUUUUUCUUUAUACAAGCACUAUUGAUGAAAUAAUUAUCAACCCAUUAUAAAUAGUCAACCUAGUAGUGGAUCUAAUUAUUAAAGGUUAGACUAGAGAGUAAGUUGAUCAUCGAGAGGAAUGAGGUUCAAGCCAACAUAACUAAUGAAUCAGCCGAGCGGAAAACUAACUUAGUUGAUUAGAGAUCCCAUGGUCUAAGUUCAAUAGGCAAAUUGGUUGGACAUGAUUCAAAGAAGUUAACACAUUAUAUACCUCAUUCCUAUUAUGGAAGAAGUGUGUUGUCUGCAGACGUUUUAGGUUGUAUAUUUAUACUUAAUGACAGUGAUAUCUUAUAAAUAAGAGGAAUAGAGCAAACUAUUUUUAAUCAGUGAUCACCUAUGUGAGAGUAGAAAUGAGUUGCUUCUAUGAGUAUGAGAUGGCUAAAUUCUCUAAAGCUCUCAUGAAUCCGGGAUUUGUUCAGGACCAAAAUGAACACAAUCGUAUGAACCGGAAUAUAUUAGGAUUAGUGAUGUGUAUUGCUUAUUGUCUCGGUUUACUGUUGUGGUGAAGUGUUCAAGAUUCCAUAUCUAUUGCAUCACCAAGUAAAUCCAUUAAGUAUUCACCAGGGUAGGUUCAAGUCCAAAAGACACAUUUCCCGAUGCAUCUCUUGUCAUCAUGUACUCUCAAAUUCUUCCUAAUUUUUCAGUCAUGUGGGGGAUUGUGGGAAAUUAUAUAUUAUAAUUAAUAUUAUAAUAUUUAAUUUUUGUAUGAAUGAAAAAUAAAAGUCAUGUGUCAUAGUUGAAUUCAAACUCAUGAGUUGUAUAUGUUCGUUGGAACUUUAGACAACAGUCAUACUGUUUCAAAAAGGGUGGCUUGAGUUCUAUAUAAACUCAAGCAUCCCACGUGUCUAAUAGAAUUAAGAGAAGAGUUUUCUCCAAUGUCUUUGUAAAAAUCUGAGUCGUAUCUUAAGGGUAAAUAAUAUAUGAAGUUCGCCAGAGUCCGAAGAUUGAAGUGUUUUGACUUCGGAUUAUAGAUCGUUGAAUCCUGUGUGACGAACGCCUACCGAACUACAAGCAAAGAGUAGGGACGAAACUAUGUCUUUAGGACAUUACAUUUAUGCAAGCCUCAAUCUCCAAGUUUGUCAGUUUUUCUAACUUUCUCUCUCGUUGUUUAUAUUAAUUUUGUACACAUGUGAUGUUGUGAAUCUUUUUAUAAUAAUUAUUAUUGUAAUUGUUGUUAUUUUCAUAUUUUCUAAUAUUGAAUACCCAUAGAUUUAUUAAAAAAAUUAAAAUCCCUUAAAAUUCCAAUUGAAUACACCUCAAAGGAAAUAUUUCAAGAUGUUCAUAGAUUUGAGUAUAAUAAGUGUACACGUACGAGGAUCAAUUCGAUCACAAUACUCUCGGUCAAAACAUCACGAAGAACAUCCGGUGUUUCCUCAAACCAACACAACAGUAAUCUAUAUGAAGAGAAAAACCAUGUUCAGUGAGCCGUUGCAGCAGCACCUUCGGAUCUGGAGGGACUUCAGUAUGUUACUUCAUAGCUUCACAUUUUCUAUUUUGGACCCAAGAGCAAUUCGGGCCCAUCUCCCUAAGUAAUUUGGUAGAAGCCCUAAGUAAUUUGGUAGAAGCCCAAGUCUUCAGUCCACUGUCUUUCACUUGCAAAACUGAGUUGCGCCCUAGUUUUUGUUAGCGUGAGUCAAACAUAUUUUGUAUUUAUUUUGAAUAUUAUAAUUCUCUUCUUAUUAGGAAUUUCUUGUAUACUUAUUGGAUUCUAUAUCACCCCUCCUAGAGAGCAAAAUACAUUAACCCAAAUUAUUUGACUAGUUUUUAUCUGUUUUUCGUUCUACAUUUCAGUUAUGGAUGAAUCUCCAACGUGGAAAUCAUUAACAAAUGCGUUGUCUUAGUUCACUUGGACAAUGCGUUGUCUUAGUUAAGUGAGACGAUGCGAUUCGCUCCUAAAAUAGAGUUAGAGUACGAGCUACAUGAAUCGCCAUCAAAUUUCAACUAAGUCUAAAUGAGCUGAUAUACCUACCCCGUUGCAAAUUUUCAUAACUUACGUUGUAGACAACCGAUAUUGAUAUAUCAUCAAAAUUUUCAUAAAUUUGCAUAUCAAUAUUUAAAACAUUAGUUGUGCCCUAGUUUUUGUUCACGAGAGUCCAUAUUUAAUAUUAUAAUUCCCUUUUUAUUAUUUAGGUAGUUUUCAUUCUACGUUUGAUUUAUGGAAGAAACUCGAACGUAAAAACCACAAACAAAAGUAUGGUUUUAGUUGAGUAAAAAUCACAAACAAAAAGUAUGGCUUUAGUUGAUUGGGACAAUGCGUUGUCUUAGUUAAGUAAAACGAUGCGAUUCGCUCCCUGAAUAGAGGCAGACUACAAGCUACAAGAAUCACCAUCAAACAAGCAUGCAUUGUUCUCCCGGGCUCAUAGCAUUGGCUUUGAUAAAUAACAAAUGAAAUAUUUUAUAAGAAUUGGUAAUAUUUUACAAGAUCUGAUGAUCCAAAAACAAAACUAGAAAUAACAAAAAUCCCAGGACGGGGAAAAGCAGUAAAAAGAAUAUUCGCAUUCAGGAGUUUACAAGUGUCGGUCCAACACAACACGAGUUGGCAGACCGAGUCAAUCUCCAACCCCCAAAUCAGUCAAGGCUUCUGUCUCUCACUGUUUCCGCCUGUCUCCGCCGUGUAACCCGUGAUUCAAACUAUCCCCCAAAAACGUCUUCGCCGCGUCCAAGCUCGGAAAAUAAGUCGGCUCCAGAAAUAUCCGACUCAGCGAGUCACACGCCUCCGGACUCACCACGACUUGGUUCCCCUUCGCCUCCAAGCUCCCCAUCAACACCACCAGCACCUGCUUGUACGCGUAGUAGAAUCGCUUCAAAGCCGACUCAAUCGCCUGAAGCGCCUGCAGCAAGUGGAUCUUCUCCGAGACGGAUUCCGAGUCUGACUCGGCUUUCUUCUCCGAGUACAGCCUCAUCGCCGCCUCCUGAAUCCUGGGCCCUCCCUUGGGGUCCACCUCAACACCCAGUAUGUACGGCACCUUAUGCCUCAGCUCCUUGCAGAGCUUCGUCACCUCCACGAGCGCCUUCGAUCUGAAGCAAAACGACUCCGUAUCGUCCACUGUCUUGAUCCGCAGCUGGUUCUUCAGCCUCAGAAAAUCGGCCGGGUCCAUCAGAAGGUGAAGAUCCUCCAUCUCCGCGAGGAGCUUCCAUAUCCGUUCGAUCACGUAACAGUCGCUCGCGGCCUUUUCCAAGUCUCGAGAUUCGAUGCGGCUUACCACGCGCAUGAGAAGCUCCCGGCAAACGUGGACCCACGACUCGAGGACCUGGUGCGUGGCGUACACCGUCUGGUUCUCGUAGUUGUCGACAUGGGCGUCGUACGGGCUCUUCCUCAGGGAAUGCAGCUCGCUCGGCUUGCAUACGGCGUCGUAAUCCAGGUUCGGCUUCCCGGCGAGGUUCGGCUCCCCCAGGCCCAACGAGUACGGACAGUUACUCAUCUCGCACUCGAUCGAGUACAGUAUCUUCUGCGCCAUCCCUUCCGAUUUCUGCCACGUGGCGAGCCGAGGUAGCAAGCUGACCUCGCUGGUGCGGCUGACCACCGUGUGCUCCCCCGAACUCCACACCUCCGCCAUGCUCCCGUCGCGGGCCAGCUCCCCGUUCGACGUGCUGAGAUCGACGAUCGGCGCCAAUCCGCGCGUCUCGCUGUCUUCCUCGUCGUCCUCGAUCAACAUCGCGAUGAGCUGUAUCUGGCUGGUAGAGAGCGACUCAAGCCGGCGCUUCCACUCGCGCCGGUUUGAGUACGGUCUAGGGUCGGACAAAACGGUCGAGACGAACCGGAACGAGAUUUCGAGAGCUUGGAGAGCCGGCUUGAGAAUCGACUCGUUUUUCCACGAUGGAAAGUCGUGGGAGCUCCAGAACUCUCGGAGCUCCGGGAGGCGGAGGUAGUGCUCGUAGGUGGAGCAGGACAUUUCGGAGGCGGCGGAAAUAUCGGUCUGAACUUGGGCGGCGGAGCGAAACGAACCGGGAACCGAGACGUGGAGCUUGGUGGAGAGUUUGGAGGAUUUGCUGGGUAUGUUGGAGGAGACCAUCUUUGCUUUCCAAUCUAAAUCUACCAUUUGAGACUUGUGAGAAGAGAAAUGAAUUUUGAAAACGUUUUUUUUUUUUUCGUUUUUUGAGAACUUUUGGAUUUAGGAUUUGAGUUGUGUUUGAAACGAAGGAGAGAAGAGAGGGGGGUAUUUAUAGGGCAGCGGGAAUUGGGGAGAAGAAAAGGCGUGUGGAAUUUCGGGGUGGUGGGUGGGCAUGAAGAACGACGAAUUUGAAAGUCGUUUUUGGAAAUUAAAUUUAAAUAAAUUUAAAUAUAUAUAUAUAUUUUGGACACUUGAAGCUUAUCCAUAUCACCGUCUGCUUGUCCAAUUUAUUCAUUCAUUUUCUUAGUGUAUUAUAUCGGAAUAGAUUCUUUUCACCAAAUUCAUUAAAUUAAAGGAUUCAGAUUUUUGAAAUUUAAUCCAACGGUUAAAGUUAUUAUAACUUUUUAAGAAAUGACUUGUUUUUAACAGUUCGAUCAAAUUUUAAGGACUCGGAUCCUCUAAUUUGGUGAAAAGAAUCCGAAGAAGAUCCAUUUCUUAUUAUAUCCAUGUACAUAAACAAAUAAUUGUAUUCUAAAGCCAUCAUGUUAGGAAUUGUUUGGAGAGUGCUUUUAAAUAAUUGAAAGUAUUUUUAAACAAAAUAUUUUUGAAAUCAAGUUUUAGUAAAAAUACAAGUUAAUUUUGAAAAAAAAACACUUGAAGUACUUCAUUCAAUGAGCACCAUAACUGUGCUUCUUGCAAGAACACUUCAAACGCUUUCAGAACCCAAAAAUAAUUUCUCUAAAAAACGCUUUCAGUCAUCAAAAUACACUUCCCAAACAAGCCGUCAUUGUUUUAUUUAAAGACAUUUUUUUUUAAUAUAUUCUUCAAAUGAGACAUAUUAAUUUGGUGAUAUGUGUAUUAUUAUACGCAUAAUAGUAACAUAAUAUGACUGUGUUUAUGAUGUACGAAAAAUUUCUCAAAAAAUGGAGAAAAUAAAUAAAAAUUAGAAAUAAUGAAGAAUAAGAAGAGGAGGAAGGAAACUGCGUAUAUAUGUUUGAAAUGGAAUUGUCGAACGUUUGACUUUGGUCAACGUUAAGCGACGUCCAUGAUCCAUCUACAAUGCUAAACUGUUUUUUAAUUCUUCUUUCGAAAUAACACGUUUUCUUUCUGUCUCCACUAUACACCCGACUUCCUAAUUUUAAUGACAGCUUUUUAAAUUGCCUUAUUAGGUAAUAAUAAUUACGCAUUGAUUUACGGCUAUAUGUAAUUUUCUUUGUUAUUUUUUUAUUUAAAAAAAUGGAGAACUGGUGGCAAAUCAUGAUUAUCUAUUAUUUUCGAGAGCUGGGAAGACUCACAUAGAUAUUUUAGUUUCCUCUAACCACAAGUCUAACUUCCACACCAGCAGCGGGUUUCGAACUCGAGACCUCCAAUUUUUAGUUUGAAUGGGGAACAAUUUAGCUGACUGAUUUCAAGUGGUAAUGAUGCUCAUUAUCUUAUUUACCACUGUUAGAUAAGUUUAAAUUUGAAAUUUGUAUAGUAAAUGAACAUAAAUUUUAAAUUUAAACUCAUCUAUGGUAAUUAAUAGUGUUGAUGCACAAAACCGGAGGGGUUUUGGAACAAUAUAAAUCCAACCGUGAAUCUGCAAGAAAGUAAAUAACACAAGAUGUAUCAUGGUUCACCCCAAUGUUUGGACUACGUCCACACUUAUGUUGAUAUUGUUUCACUUUGAAUGGUGAAUAUACAAGAAGGCUAGAGGCAGUGUACUCUCUAGCCUAUUUUCUGUGUUUGCUCUCUCUGAGGUGUUUUCUCUCUUCCCAUGGCCUAAACCUUCACCUUUUCCAAUGAGGAGAGUGAGGAGUCCUUUUAUAGAAUAAAGGCUCAUCACUUAUUACAUAUUUGCCCAUUCAUUUAUUACAUAAUUACAUUUGAGGCAUCCGAGUAUUUAUACGAGGUCUAAAUACAGAGGCUCUAAAUAUGGUACAAACAGUAGUCCCCCAAGUCUUCAGUCAAGAGAGUCUUUUGGCUGGAGAUUUGAAACUUAGUCCAUGUGUGGGCUGAAGUAACUAGAUGUCGUCUAUAACUGAUACUCGAUAUGAGGCGGUGCUCAAUGUGAAAUGAUGCUCAACUAGAAGUAGCACAUGUUGCGAGGCUGCUCGGCUUGUGGCUUAUGUUGCCUUGGUUGGCUUGGCUUGUGGUGUUGAAGGUGAUGGAGUCCCUUUUAUAGAAUAAGGGUUCGCUCCUCAAUACAUAAAUGAUGGGCUAGAGUUGAUACUCGGGCCAGGCAGUUGCUCAGCAGGCAGCAAUGCUCUCUAAUGAUGGUGAGGGAUUCCCUUUUAUAGAAUAAGGGCUCACUCCUCAAUACAUAAGUGAUGGCUAAGAGUCUCUCUUUAAUGAAGGUGAGGGAGUCCCUUUUAUAGAACAAGGGUUCGCUCCUCAAUAUAUAAAUGAUAGGUUAUGAGUGAUGCUCACGGCGAGGCGGUUGCUCAGCUGGCGGCGAUGCUCUAUAAUAAAGGUGAUGGAGUCUCUUUUAUAGAAUAAGGGCUCGCUCCUUAAUACAUAAAUAAUGGCUGCUCUUUAAUGAAAGUGAGGGAGUCCCUUUUAUAGAAUAAGUGUUCGCUCCUCAAUACAUGAAUAAUGGGUGCUCUCUAAUGAAAGUGAGGGAGUCUCUUUUAUAGAAUAAAGGUUCGCUCCUCAGUACAUAAAUAAUGGGCUAAGUCCCCCAAGUAUUUUUCAUGAGGCCCAGUUGCGGAUGCCCUAAAUAUAUGGUACAUAGUGUAGUCCCCCAAGUCUUCAGUCAAUAGAGUCUGUUGGCUCGGCUUGUGGCUUAUGUUACCUUGGUUGGCUCGACUUGUGGCGUUGAAGGUGAGGGAAUCCCUUUUAUAGAAUAAGGGCUCGUUCCUCAAUACAUAAAUGAUGGGCUAGAGUUGAUGCUCGCGGCGAGGCGGUUGCUCAGCAGGUGGCGAUGCUCUCUAAUGAUGGUGAGGGAGUCCCUUUUGUAGAAUAAGGGCUCGUUCCUCAAUACAUAAGUGAUGGGCUAAAAGUCUCUCCAAUGAAGGUGAGGGAGUCCCUUUUAUAGAAUAAGGGUUCGCUCCUCAAUACAUAAAUGAUGGGUUAAGAGUGAUGCUCGCGGCAAGGCAGUUACUCAACUGGCGGCGAUGCUCUCUAAUGAAGGUGAGGGAGUUCCUUUUAUAGAAUAAAGGUUCGCUCAUCAAUACAUUAAUAAUGGGUGCUCUCUAAUGAAAGUGAUGGAGUCCAUUUUAUAGAAUAAGGGUUCACUCCUCAGUACAUAAAUAAUGAGCUAAGUCCCCCAAGUAUUAUUCAUGAGGCACAGUUGCGGAUGCCCUAAAUAUAUGGUACAUAGUGUAGUCCUCCAAGUCUUCAGUUAAUAGAGUAUGUUGGCUGGAGACUUCAAAUUCAAUCCAUGUAUGGGCCGAAGUGGCGGUUGUUCAAAGGUGGUCUUUGUAUACCAUGCACUGAAGCUUUGUAAGUGAAGCUUUCAAAGUUGGAGAUUUUGUAAAUGAAGCUUUCGAAGAUGGAGCUCUGUAAAUGAAACUUUCGAAGCUGGAGCUCUAUAAAUGAAGCUUUCGAAGCUAUAACUAUGUAAAUGAAGCUUUCGAAGUUGGAGCUCUGUAAAUGAAACUUUCGAAGCUGGAGCUCUAUAAAUGAAGCUUUCGAAGCUAGAGCUAUGUAAAUGAAGCUUUCGAAGCUGGAGCUCUAUAAAUGAAGCUUUUGAAGCUGGAGCUCUGUAAAUGAAGCUUUCGAAGUUAUAGCUCUGUAAAUGAAGCUUUCGAAGCUGAUUGACAUGAGUGAAGUUCAUGGAUGUUGACAUGAGUGAUGCUCAUGAAUGUUGACAUGAGUGAUGCUCAUGAAUGUUUAUGUAUGAUUGAUAUGAGUGAUGCUCAUGUAUGAUGGUGAUUGUCAUAAGUGAUGCUCAUGUAUGAUUUUUUGGCGGACGGGUUGUACUUUUAAUUACCUGGUUGGUGAUAAUAACGGCAUGCUGCUGAAUAAUUUUGAAGUACUGGACGUACUUUUGAUCACCUGGUUGGUGAUAAUAGCGGUAGGCUGCUAAAUAAUUUUGGAGUACUUGACGUACUUUAUAAUUAGUUAUCCUAACACAAAUAAAAUAAUAAGAUAUUAAAUAAACAAUGAUAUUGAGAAAACAUAAUGAUGGGUUUCUUUCAAGCAUGGCCGAUAGUAAUUAUAUAAUUAAUAAUAGAAUGAUAACAGAUGGCAGACGGAAUAAAAACUUAUCUUUCUUUUGAAUUUGGUGGUCUGUAGCUUUUGAUAAAGCUUCAUGCACGUUCUAGGCUGGGAAGGUUGCUUUUAGUAGCUAGCAGAUGUUGGAGAAUGGACUCACUGCAGGACCGGACCACUUCUUUCCACUUUCCUCCUCAGCUUUUCUCCAUCUCCAGACAUUUUUUUUCUUUCUAUAUUCUUUUCUUCCCUUUUUCUUUUUUCUGCUACAUUGCAGGUUUACAACAUGGGUGAGCAGCGUAAGAGGAUAAGCUUUGUCAGAAGCUAAAACGCAGCGUCUCGAAGCUCAGAGACUCACUGGGUUGAGAUUCCAAACUCGAAGGAUCUGAGUUGGGAGCUGGAAUCAUGAGAUGAAGAAAGAGAUGAUCAUUAAUGAAGCAAGAAGCAUCAGGUCCACCGUGUCCGUUGAGAUACUAAAGACAAUGUCUCCAGUUCUAGUGUCGAUGUCGAAGAAGCCGACGUCCUGUUUCAACACGACCUCCAGAUACUUCUUCUUCAGCGUGUUCACCUGUCUCUCACCGGUGUACAUCCAGUAUGCAAUCUCUGCGUAGGAUGUUACGCAUACUAUGAGAUCGAGAUACACAAAGUACAGAGCAUACUUUGCUACUUCUGUGGUCAUUUUCUACAAAUUCAUUUGGUUUUCGCCGAACCCGCUAACCAUUUCCUCGAACAUGAGGAAGAACACCGGCAUGGAGGAGCCGUGCACGACGGCGCCCAAGCUUUCAAAGAUCAUGAGGAGCCAAUCGUACUUGUCUGCAAAGGAGAACAACUGGAAAAAAAGGGUAGGCUCUGCUCAUUCAUCUUCUCCGCCUCCGAGAAUGUCUUUGCCUCCGCCAUUGCAGCAGCUCAGCUACUAAUGGGUGGCCGGAGCAAACAAUUAGUAAUAAAGUGAACCUUGCCACCAGUUUCCUCUCGAAGCACUAUUUGCAUCGUCCUCACUGCCAUCUUUCUUAGAAGUAUGAUGCUGAUGGGAUUCAGUGGUCCCAGUUCUUGGACUAUAAUUUUCUUGGCCGCCAUAAUAGAUAGAUGAACUCAGGUUGCAUGGAUCCGUAGCUUCGUUUUGAUACAUAUUGGAAGCUUUGCUGGUUUUGUUUUCACCCUUAUUAUCAGAAAAACUUGGACUCCCGUACAUACUAGCUUGAUCUCCAAAAUCCUGCCUUCUCUCUUUCCCAACUCCCGUUGAGGGGACGGGUGGGAAAAUGGAGCCAAAGAAUCCGGAAAGGGGAUAAUGAAGAAGAUGACGACGAGUCUUUGAGACUAAAUAAAUGAUCCAGACUCCUUGAUGAUGACGAAGAAGAAGAAGAGCCAUGGCUUGCACCACUUCCCACUUUCUUCUUGUUCUCUAUCGUAGUUAAUUAGUGAACUGAAGCUAAAGCUGGUAUGUUACAAAAGCUGCUUUCAGCUUUGUCAACCAACGAACAUAUUCUAACUACUGCUUUUUGAUAGUUGUUGAUAGUUAUCUCUUAAUGGUCAAAGACUCAGAAGCAGAGAUUGGAUAAGGUUUGCAGAAUAAGGAUUCAGAAACCAACAACUUAAAGAGAUAAAAUUGGAGGGAGGGCAGAUAGGAAGCAGGAAAGAGCACGUGAAGUUUUGCAGAUGUCUGAAAAUUGGCCGAGGAAAUCGCAUCGUUGAAAUCCUUAUGCAUCUGCAGAUUCUAGUCUUUUUUAAAUCCCUGGUUGCAGAUCGAGUAGGAUCUCGAGUUGUGUAGAUUCAUGGUGGACAAUUAUGAAGUUUUCACGGUGGUGAGAUGAAAAAAUGAAAGAGAACCGACAUAACUUUUCGUGUCGUUUCCCACAGAAGGCGCCAAAUGUUGAUGCACAAAACCGGAAGGGUCUUGGAACAACAUAAAUCCGACCGUGAAUCUGCAAGAAAGUAAAGAACACAAGAUGUAUCGUGGUUCACCCCAAUGUUUGGGCUACGUCCACACUGAUGUUGAUAUUGUUUCACUUUGAAUGGUGAAUAUACAAGAAGGCUAGAGGCAAUGUGCUCUCUAGCCUAUUUUCUGUGUUUGCCCUCUCUGAGGUGUUUUCUCUCUUCCCAUGGCCUAAACCUUCACCUUUUUCUAAUGAGGAGAGUGAGAAGUCAUUUUAUAGAAUAAGGGCUCCUCACUUAUUACAUAUUUGCCCCUUUAUUUAUUACAUAAUUACAUUUGAGUUCCUCGAGUAUUUAUACAAGGUCUAAAUACGGAGACCCUAAAUAUGGUACAAACAAAUAGGAUGAUGAACGCUACCACUAUUUAAGUAUAAACUUUUAUUUGAUAAGGUUAAGCUAAAGUUAGAAAGGUAGUUUAAUAUUUCUUUUUCUGGAUAUGUCUUACAAUCUAAUUGUUAUUACAAAUUACACUUUAUCGAUAGGUCGUCUAUUGAUUAGAUAAUUGUUUAAUAUUUCUAUACUUUUAGCUCUUGAGAAAGUUUUUAAUUUGUCAAAAAUAUGACUUGGUAUAUUAUGUCAUCAUACAUAAAGAGAGAUACUUGAAAGUACAAUUGUCUUUCUUUAGAUAAUAACAUGUGGUGUGUUGAAUAUCAGAAUACGCAACAAACGAGACUAACAAAAUAAUAGGAAUAUUAUUAAACUAACUGAUAAUGCCGGAACGGCUACAAAGCCCUAAGAGACUACAUUGUGAAUAACUUGAUUUCUAAUGAAUAACAAAGCACUCUAUUUAUAAUAAACUAACCCUAAACCCUAAUGCUAACGGGCUAAGCCCAGAAAACCAAAUAUUAAAGUAAACCUAAAUACUAAUAUUUUCCAACACCCCCCGUCAAACUCAUGGCGGUAUACGACAUGGGUUUGCAAACAAGCAGAUGCGGACUGGCUCCGUUAAGCGGACAGACAGACAGGCAGGCGUUGCCGCAACGCGGACAGACAGACAGGCAGGCUCUGCAACGCGGACAGACAGACUCCGCAACGCGGACAGACAGACAGGCAGGUACGCAAACUUGACUUGACUUGAUUCUUGACUUGAUUCUUGAUUGCAAACUGGCAAAUUGGUUCUUGAUUCUUGACUGGCUAGUGUUGAGAGUAUGAAAAGAACCCGUCACUAAACGGACGAGAUUUUCAUAUUUCAAUUCUAGCAACGAACAAACAAACACAAAUACUAUCACUCGAAUGGUCACAAUUCCAAGUACUCAAAUGACGAUCAUAAAACAAUUCCAAACAGGCCAACCAACAAUUCAUGGAGGCCUAAAACAAACUUAACCAUACUUUCCCUGCCCGUGUGGGCCCAUAAACAAACAGCCAAUUUUUUUUUCUUUCUCCUGGGACUUUUCGAAUGCUUUCCUCCAACAAACAACAUAACUUUUUCUUGCAUUGGACAAUAGUUUUUCUUUUUCUUUCUUUUCCUUUUUAAUAGAAAAUUAACACAACAAAAGCAAGAAUGGGUACUGGUGAAUGGUUCAGACGAACGGCUGGGACUGGGUUAGGUUGCAGCGAUGCGGGUGUGAGUCGGGUUGAUCUGAUAUGGUGCAUGUAUGGUUCUGUCGGUGCUGGUGCUAGGCAUAUGCGAGCAAGUGUAGCGAGGAUGGAGAGAUUUAGGACUGAGUUGCAGGUGAUGGGUCGGCGCCGGAGAUUCAAGUGGGUCUGGCAACGGGUGGUGGUGUGGCUGGUGUUGGAUACGAACGGCAGAUGUGCUGGGUUUCUAGUUGCAGACCUGGUACGAAGGCUGAUGGCUGGGUGACGAUGCAGCGGAAGUGGGGCAGAUUCUGGUGAGUCGUCCGAGCAAACAUAAUCAAAUUUUUUUCUUUUCAAAACGAACACUGAAAACUAUUAUCAAACAAACGACAUGGAUACCUAUCAAGAACAGAUUAAAUCCCGAAAGAUCAAACCUGCUCUGAUACCAUGUUGAAUAUCAGAAUACGCAACAAACGAGACUAACAAAAUAAUAGGAAUAUUAUUAAACUAAAUGAUAAUGCCGGAACGGCUACAAAGCCCUAAGAGACUACAUUGUGAAUAGCUUGAUUUCUAAUGAAUAACAAAACACUCUAUUUAUAAUAAACUAACCCUAAACCCUAAUGCUAACGGGCUAAGCCCAUAAAACCAAAUAUUAAAGUAAACCUAAAUACUAAUAUUUUCCAACAUGGUGUACCGUUUAUUUUGAAGACAUUGAUAGUCUCUCCUAAGUUUCACCAUGAUAGGAGGAUUAACAUAAGGUUCUCAACCGAGGAAACAAGUUUGCAUAGUUUUAGAUAAGUCGAAUCAAAUACAAUGUUUUUUUGUUUUUUAUUUAUUUUUGUUUUUGUGGUCAGUAGUUGUAGCCGACUUUUAAAGAAGACCAUUAAUUUAUUCAAGUUCCUUCUUUGGAUUAUUCGUGAGUUGUCCCUUCACAAAAAUCGGUUGUCAUCAACAUUUUAUAAUACAAGAAAUUGUUUGUUGACGUUUCCAAUUAAUAAAAAAAUCUGAAGAAGGUGACAUGAGUUUAUGUGGCCAGAAUUCCGAAUCUGGCAGGGCGGAUGAACAAGGGAACCAAAGGGUUUCAGGAUUACUCAGAAUGUAAAAAAUAUACAUGUAAAGGUCUUUGAGGAAUUUUCGAAUGUUUGAUAAGGAUUAUUUUUGUGUUUAUUAAGUAUUUGAUAUAAUAACUGAUAGACAUAUCUCGAUAGAUUGCAUCGACAACACUCAACAAAUACUCAAUAUCACUCAUCAGAACGCUUCAACAUAUAUUGAUAUUUGUUGACAUGUGCGCAACAUGGUUUAACUAAAGACAACAAGGCAACUAAGUGAUCGAAGAAAUGACUCAAUGAAUAUAUUAUUAUUUUUUAAAAGGAAAACUAAUGAAAAUGGUUUGAAAACUUUGAGUUUUAAUGAUAAGGACAAAAUAAAGGGUAAAGUGAAUAGUACCAUGAUUGAUUUUUUAGUGUAAAAAUGUGGUUUUUCAUUAAAUUGAACAGUACCGGGAGCUUUUCGUUAAAAUUCCAUUUUUUAAAUGCUUCGCACUCUAUUUUUUAUCUUGAAAACUUAAACAUUUAAUAUCGAAACUCCAAAUGUUCAAAUUCUGAAUUCCCCUUUGAUUGUCAGUUAAGUUUGGAUAGGAUUAAGAUGAGGGACACAAAGUCUGUCCAGACAUUUAGGAAGGGAGAAGGAAUACGACUGCAGCCGACUCCGGCUAAUUUUAUACCACGGCCUGUUUGGUCCGCCUACUCACAUUGAAUUAAAGAAAGCAAGUAAACGCCAACUGUGUUCGGAAGAGCACUUUGGAUAGGAUUGUAUAGUUUGGAAGUGUUUUGCCUUCGUUAGAUAUUGGAGCCAAUAUUUAGUCCCAUUGGCCAUCGAUAUUGCCAUAUUAAGGUGAUUAAAUAAGGCAACUUGAUUAGGGGUUUGGUUUCUUUUGUAAUUACUCGAUGCUAAUGUCCAAAAAAAGUUAUAAUUAUUUGUUACUCGAUGCUAAUGUCCAAAAAAAGUUAUGAGGGCAACACGAAUAUCCGAAUUUUUUAGAGGAUUAUUUGUUAAGUUAUAAUUAAGUUUAUUGAGAAACAAAAUAGAGAAGUUUGUUGUUACUCUGAUCAAAGUUUGUAGCAUAUCACGAUUGAUAUUCUUUAUGGAAUACAUAAAAAAAAUAAGAGACGAUAUGAGAUAUUUCCUGCAAUUGUAGUUUGUUGUUUUGUGUAGAAUUUUAGAAUUAUUUUUUCAUUAUACACAAAAUGCGACCACAUAAUGCACAAAAUAUGAUCUCAUACAAACAUGAGCUGAAGUUUUAAAAGAAAAACAACAACGAGAGUAAAAAAUUAAGAAAAAUGUGUUAGAUUAGAAACAAAAAUAUAGAGGUUUGUUGCUACUAUGAUCAAAAGUAUGUAGCAUAUCACGAUUGAUAUUUACGGAAUACAUAUGAAAUGAGACAUUUCAUGCAGUCGGAGUUUGUUGUUUGGUGUAGAAUUUGAAAACUAUUUUUUUUUUUUUUUGUCAUACAACGAAAUGUGGACACAUAAACACCUAACUCAAAUAUGAUCUCAUGCAACCUUAUUUAUGACAAUCCGAACUCUCUUUGAGCUAAUAUCUGCAACAGUUUCUCUAGAAUUUAUUAGCUCUUAAUUUAUCUAUUUUAAUAUUGAAUGAAAUUUCAUGUUCGAACCUUUUUCUCUAUUUUCAGAAAGGAAAAACAAACCCUAAAGGAUUACGUUGUACGAUUGGAUUGAAUAAGCCAUUUUGAAAUAAAUAUCCAGCCACUUGGGAAUCCUCAGCUACUGUCUUAUUCAAUAUUUGUUCAAUUACUCUUUUACGUGCAAAUACAAUAUAAGCAUUGGGUUCCCCAAUAAUGAUAUCUCCCAACAUACAAAAAUUAGCCAUCACCCCGCCUCUGGUAGGGAAUGUAAUCUAGGAUUUGAACGAGGGAUUUGGGCGUUUGCAUGUUUUGCAUUACACUCAAAGGAUUCCAACGUUUACCCUAAAAAAAUGUGUUUCUUUUGCAUUGUUCUCAUAUUAUUUAUCAGAAAAUUAAAACAAAACAUAUUAAAAUACAACAUUUGAAACAUUCGUCAUUUCCAACAUUGCACGUUUCGCAUUUGGUAAGUGAGAAAGAAUUAGAAAAGGAAAAAGUAAAGAUAUAAUAAAAGAAGCCAAAUUGGCGGACUUUACAUUGCAUUUACACAUUCAUAUCCAAUCCAGACGACUCACACAAAUAUUGGAUAGUAUUAUUUAAUCCCAAAUAAACCAAGUGGCAUUGCAUUCUUCAAUUCAAAUUAUGGGCAUGCAUUGCCUGCAUCUGCACUGCACCUCCAUCCUCCCGUUGGGGACUGUUUGGAUAACUCAUAACUCUCUCUUUCUAUUUUAACUUGGACUCUUUGUCUCGUUCCCACUCCUUUCCCGAAUCCAAUCCAAUCCCCCAAACACUUGGACUUUGGAUUCGGUUUGACUAAAUCAUCCCGCGUUUACCGCCUUCAACUCAGCCACGUGUCCGCCAUCCAGUUGCCCCACCAGCGCGAGACUUUCCAACUCGGCGACGCUUUUCUGGUCGCCAACUAUAUCUGGGGCGGGCGGGGUUAACCUCAAGUUCUUAACCAUGUGAGACAUGCACCCACCUACCGACAGUGGCGUGACGGUCACGUGAGCUACCCUCUUCACAUGUGCGUGGGACACUUGAGAUCAUCACUGCUGUGCGGCGGUGCCUAACGGGCCGCUGGUGGUUGCAGCCAUGUUGCGCGUACAGGAGUAGUAGUGGUGCUGUAUGGUCACAGGUGACACUGUGACAGUUGGGAUGGUAUUGGUUGGUUGGCUUAGCCGUGAGUUCUCGUGCAUGUAUGUAAAAUUGGGUUCUUGUAUUUGCAUUCAACAUACGAAAAUGUAUUCGCAGACGCAAGCGUUGCCACAUUAUUUAGGAUUAAUUUGCUAUGGACUUGAGUUCGAAUAUAUCUCUCCAGUAGAAUAUGUCUUUGACGUAAAGCCUUGGUUAGGUACUGAGGUGAUUCUGAAAAAAAAAUUGGUAUAAAAAAUAGCUGGGAGUCUUUUUGUGUUUGGUAAACAUUUAGCUUCAGUUUUUUUUCACAGUUUUGGGUGAAAAAGCCAAAAACAAGAAGCUGCAAAACCCAACUUUGAAAAAUCAGUUUUUUUUCACAUCUGUUUUACAUAAAAGUUUACCAAACACUAUAAUACUGUUUUUUUUUUCAAAAGCAUUUUUACAAAAAAAUUUAUCAAACACUCUGCUACUUUAUUUCACAGCUGCUUAUUUUCACAGUACAUCAGAAGCAGUUUUUUUUUUCAAAGCACGUCAAUAACAAACUAGCAUGAAGUAUAAGCAGACGGAUUGAACUGAUGGGGUCAAAUUUAAGAAAGUCGGCCGAUAUUUUAUAUGGAUAAAUUUCCAACGGUGUAUGAUGGGAUAAACAAGAGCUCACGAAUUGAGUAGAUGGUUGUAAUCGUGAGUGCAUGUAGCCAUAUUUUAUUGGGAGCUAAUGAUAUAAGGACCAAAUUGUAAUUUACUUAUUUUUUAACACUUUUAGUAAUUUUUUUUGUUGUUGCUGCUAUAUUAGACCUUGGGAGGAAAGUCGAUUGUGGGCUGGGAGUGGUUUCCCAGCAAGGAAGCAUGUUUUGAGGCAGAAAAUGGGGGCUUUAUUGGCAUAUCAGGCACCGGAUGCUAAGGAUUGGCCCCAACUUUAUCCACUUCUUCAAUAUGAUUGAAUCGGAAUCUUUUUAAGAAGGUCUUGAAAAUGUUACUGUCAGUUGUUCUCAUUUCGUUGUAUUAAAAUCAAAAGACACACAUUAGUCAUUGAACUUAAAAUACAUCUAAUUUCUAAUGAAAUUAUCAAAAAUAUGUGUGAACAACUGAACGUAACAUUUCAGAAUCUUUGCGAGGUCUCGAGCAUUUAAUAUUCUUAGGUUCUCUCUUAGUGAAACUAAGAAAAAUAGGAGAUGUAUUUAACUGGACAGAUGGCACCUGUACGUGUUGUGAUCUUAAACGGCGGAUUAGAUUACCAACGUUAAAGAUGGGGAUUAGGUGGGAGAAUUUUCAAGCCAUCACUUUGCCCAAGUCCACGUCCACGUUGUGCGACUUAGAAUUAUACCCACAAAAUAGCACGGUUACAAAUCAACUCAAAAGGAAAAAAAAUUGACCUCCAUUCAACUAUAUGUCAUUGUAGCCGAUUUUCUAUCUCUUUCGGCAUCAUUGUAAGUUUUCCAACUGGAUAAUCACAUUGUUAUAUGGUGUUAUUAAUUCAAAUAUUAUGACUUAUAUUAUGAGUGAAUAACAAAAGAAAAAUUCUUCAAAAUCAAUCGAUAAUAAUAGUUAAGGUGUCAUCGAUAUAUCGUAUUGGUAAUUAUGAAACUCAUAUGAUAUAACGUGAAUAAACUGAUAAUAUUACAUAACGGUUACAAUGAAAAACGUCAAAUUAUUAAGAUGAGAUCCACGAAAUCUCUUCCAUCAUGACAUCAACACUAUUAUCUGAAGGGUGAUGCUAGAGACUAUAUUUGUAGACCACAUGAUGUAGCGAUUGUUGGUUAAAAUUUUUCUUUAAAUCAUGAAAAAUGACAAUCAUAAACCGCCACAUUAUUUGGUUUGCAACCUAUUUUGCACAACUCAAACUCAUACAUGAUCGGCACAUUAAACACCAACAUACUUAAUCCACCAUUUACAAAUCCUAGAUUAAGAACCUCGUAUUAAUUAAGAUCAAGAUUCUUUUUGCGUCCAUACUUCGGUGGUUGUUCAUGCGUCAUUUAAUCAACCUACCCCGCCUCAGUUAAUCUGAAAAGUAUAUUAAUUAAUAAUGUAUUGAGACUAAGAGGGUUUAAAUUCAAUUAUUUAAAGAUUAGUUUAAGAAAAUAAAGACCAGCGUGCUUGCCCUGUUCGGAGUUUAUGUGGAUAGACAUUACGUGAGGGGAUGGCCAUCGUUUGCCUAUCUUUUGCAAGUCAAAGGGUCAUAAAAAAUGCAGGAAAUGUUGUUUAGUUUGGGACUGAAGGGACCAGGGGGGCCUAAUAUUGACAAAGAUUUGAGGCAUGAAAGCAGCAGCUAACCCUACUUCGCAUUAGCUUAUCAGAUUAUGUUCUUGGUGAGCUCUGCAUCUCUUCAGCAUGGAAUUCUAAAUUCUAAUGAUAUUCGAGCAGUGUAAAUAUCGGUUCAGCCUGUUGAUUAGGACAAUAUACUACUCGAUAUCGAUAUCAGAAACUCAAGUAAGGGCUUCGUUAACUUUGCAAACAAUUUAAGAACGAACGUGUACGAGAGUAUGGUCAUAUGAGGAUAGAAGGACUUCAAAGAAUGGGUUAUAUUUGUUUCAGUUUCUCAAAUCGCACUCUCUGGGUCUAAAGCUGUAUCACUUUUAUUAAAUUGAUGUGUCAUAUGUGACCUAUUCUACGCUGACAAUUUAGAUGAAAUUGUGCAACACAAAGCAUCGGUUUAGGAAACCAAAUCUCCAUGCAGACCUUGGUGUUAGCCCAUAAAAGAGUCCCGCACUAAUCGUAUCACCCAUGCAUAUACUGCUAAAAGACCCCUAUUAACCAUUGGUCAUUUUGGUUAUUUCGUGAAAAAAAAUCUUCAUUAAAUCAGAAUAAAAGAAUAAAAAUAUCCUCAACUUUUUGUCGAAUCAUUUUAGAUUAUUGUUAUUAAAUUAAGGAUAUUUUUGUCGUUUUCAUCCUUACUUAACAAUUUUUUUUUUUGGAAUGACCAAAAUGAUUGAGGGUAGACAAACUCAAUACCAUUUCCAUCGAUUUCAAGAACCAAAAUAAAAAAUUAUGCCGAUCUGAUUCUGGCUAAAAUGGCUAAUAUCAUUUUUGGCUAAAAUGGCUUUAAAUAUGGACUUGGGGCAUUAUUCUUGCCAAUUUACCAAGGGAAUUGUUAUUAGCACUCAAAAAAUCUCAUUCUACACUUCUCACAAGUGUAUUUUUCUUUCUAAUUAUAGAAAGUUUAGAGUGUGAAAUGAGAUUUUUGGAGUGCUAAUAACAAUUCCUUUUACCAAAAGCAAUAUAGAUGCAAAAAGAAUCUGCUAUACAAAGUAAAUAACCGGCACUAAAUCGCUUUUUUUAUUUGGAAAAAGUUUGACACAAACUCCCUCAACUUUUAUUAACACAAGCCCAAAAUUACAAGCAAACCACAAGCCUUACUUACAACUAUACACAACCAGAAAAGGGCCAAAACCAAAAGAAAAACAGAAAGAGGGCCCAUCAACAGUAAAGCCCAAAAAACACACAACUGCCUAGAAACUUCUAGUGAAAUCUCCUCCACCGACAGAGAUCCAGACCAGCCAGCUGAAGCGUCAUCCACCAUCUAGUAUCGCUGCCACAGACACCACCACCAACCCCGAGCAUCAACCAGAUCACAUCCAUUACCAAGAUACAUUCGGCACCAAAGAGGGAUUAGCCAACUACCAAGAUGAAGCUCAGGAAAAUCCACAAACAACACUGUUGAAAACGACAAACAGCAAGAAGAUCGAGGUGGUGUUGGAAACACCCGAGUCAAGAACAAAAUCCCGACUCUAUGCGCGAACUCGAGGGGAAAAAUGGCUAAUCCCAACUCUAUGCGCGAGCUCGAGGGGAAAAAUGGCUGAAGAUCGAACUGAGGGAGUGAUGGGAACUCCAGCCAAAGCUAGAGUUAGCACCAAAAAUUGUAUGGUAUUUAUCUUAAGACAUGAAUCCACGUUCCUCAUGAUCAAGCCCAUUGCCAAUGUGUAUAAUAUCAACAAUUUUACAAAACUAAGGCCCAACAAAAUUGACACACAGCCAGCCCUGUGCGGCUGCAGCCCAAAGGAGUAUAUUAAGAGGUAAAUCCAAAAGAGCUUCUAGCAACAUUGGCAUAUGCAAGACGCAUUACCAAAUGAUUUUCCGAAAAGCACCAAACAAGAUUAACAUAAACUAAAACAAAAAUUAUCUUAAACAAAAUAUCCAACACAUUAAUGCCAUGAAAUUAUAUCCGAUCAAAAAAAACAAAGCAAGAUAGUGCCCGCAAUACCUAAACAAUGCACGUAAAUUUCAAUAUCCUCUAGUUCAACUCUGAACCAUAGCCUACUUAAUCAUCAAACAAACUGAAACCCAUUUCCUCGUCGGAUUCCUCUUCCGGCUCAGGCUUCUUCUCUUCCUCCUUGGCAGCUGCUGGAGCACCUCCGGAAGCAGCAGCAGCAACAGGGGCUGCAGCAACGGCAAACUUGCUCGGGUCCUGCAUUGUUAACCCACGAUUAAAUCACUUGCCAAUAAGAAUUAACUGAAAAGAGCAAUGACGAAAAACAGACGGACACAAACAGUUGAAAAAUAGCACAGUACCUUGAGGAACUCCUUGACUUUCUCUGCUUGUGGGAAGGAAUAUUCGGUGGCAAUAGAAACUGCCAAAACAUUCUUGUAGGCAUUGAGGAACAUGUGUGGUGCAGCUGCAAGGGUGGGGUAUGAGACAGCCAACGCCAAUGAAGUGACCAUUGAAACACCAGAAGCAAACUUCACCAUGAGAUCAUCCUCAGUCAGAUCAAGCACCUCAGGGCUGAAGACGGAACCAUUGUCAUACACCAUCUCAACAACAAGACCGUAUGAGAAUGGCCUGAUUCCAAGCUUUGCAAGGAGGGCAGCCUCAGAAGAGCCAACCUUGUCUCCCUUCUUGAUAAGUUCAACAGGGGUAAUGAUUUCGACAGUUCCCUUGUUAAUCUUGGUGGGGAUGUUGAGAACCUGAAAUGUGAAACAUGCAAGUCAGAACUACAAAAUCCCCAAAAGAGUGAUCAGGGUAUAUCGGGAACGAAUGUUAUAACAAACCUGGAAGAAAGAGGUCUGAGAUGGGUCAAGACCAGUGUUGCCAGGAGGAACCACCACAUCAAUUGGAGCAACUAAACCAACACGAGCAGGGGCUCCAACCUAUUCAAUUAAAAACAACAAACAGCUAGAUAUUAGAUAUAUGUAAUGAAACAUAUAGACAUAAUGGGUUGAUUGAAAAACUAAACAAAAAUUUAUGACGAGGCGAACUUAGCUCAAGCACAAGCAAUUUCAUAUUUUCAAGGCAAUUCUCAACAUAACCAUGUAAAAUAUUAAAACUCUACAUAAUCAACUUCUGUUAAAUACAUACUCAGAGAAACAUAACUUUUUGAAAAAAAAAAACACAAAUGUAGGUCUCAUGGCCAUGCCCAAAUAGUAAAGGCAGUGACACUGCUCCACAAUGCGAUGGGAUAUGACAACACCGUCAACGGAGGUGCUCCCAACCAAAGCUGAGAGGACCAUCAACGCCAACAGCAAUCUAUAUGUGACGUUAACUUCCGGAAUUUACAGGCAUAAGUAACCUGCUCCGUUAACUUUUAAGUUAGGGACGGAUCAAUGUCCCCCGUCACAAAUCCACAACAAAAUCAUCAAAGUUUGUAAGAACAACAAAAAAACCUAAACAUAUGUUAACAAAAUCGACACAGAAUUUGUUGAUAAAGCAUAGAACCGGAAAACGCAUAAGCGGAGUCUAAAGCCUAAAAAACCCUGGAUAGCAUUAAAAUACAGUAACUAGCACUUCCUGUUGCAUACUUCAUAAAUAAUGCAAUACAAACCAGUACUUAAUCACAUAUGCAAAACAGUAAAUCCAGUACAAAUUUAUCAGCAUUUUAAAUCCUUAAAACAAUUGAAAUGCAAAAAAACUGAUAACACAAAGUCGAAACAACCUGAAAUCGAAUAAUGCUUACCUUGUACUUGGCAACCUCUUCGCUCACUUCCUUCAGGUCACCCUUGGUGAAAAUCAGACCGACGUUGCCCUAACAUUCGAAAACAACACAAAUCAGAAAACGAACGUACAAAGAACAGAUCAGUAUGCAGAAAUGGGGCGAAACGUACCACAAGGAGGGGGACGAGGUUGAGGUAGGCACUGUUGCCGGUCUUCUCCGCAUGGAUCCUGACGGAGCGCUUCAUCAUUGUGUUCUUCCCCAUCAGAACGACGGAGUCGCCACGCAGCCCCUUGCGGAUGUUCUGGAGCUGCUUGGAGCCGACGUUGUCGGCGGCGACGAUGAGGACCUGGCCAUACUCGUCGAGGAGGGAGCAGAGCUUGGAAUCGUAGGCGAUCUUCUUGUCAGCCUUCGAGGGUUUGGGGGCCAUUGCGAUUAGUGUUUGAAAGACUAGUGGAAAUUGGGGGUUUGGGAGAUGAGAGAGUAAGACCAAAACCGAGGGCCAAGACGAAGCGGCGGCUCUGUCAAGGCGGACAGCAACGGUGCCGUCCCUUUAACCUCUCUUUUUACUGAGAGCCAAGGGUUUUGGAGGUACUGGGAAAACCUAGAAAGCUUGGAGGCGGGUGGAAGUGGAAAAUGGUUGGCAGUGAAGCUUAUAUAGUGGGGUGGAGGGAAGGAGAGGAGAGGUGGAAAGGGUUUGGCGGUUACGUAAACCUAGAUCGGACGGUUGUUAUUUAGUUUUGUUUUUUGGAUCCGAGGAUCCCGGAUGGGCCGGUUUUGGUUUAAGUAAGAAAUUGGCUGAUGUCAGGUAGCCGUUGACAUUCAAAUGGGCUGAACUAGAGGGUUGGUAAAAUGUUAAAUUUGACAUUAUGGAGCUGAAGGGUUGGAAAAAUGUCAAGCUUAACAUUAUGGCGCUGGAAGGCUGACAAAAUGACAAGCUUGACAUUCUGGCGUUGAAAUGAUGGGUUGAAGAGCGGGUUGGCUGGCUAGAAAUGGCCAGCCCGCUGGCCUAAUUUGAGGGUUUGGACCCGGUAUAGCCCACAAGCCAUUUGGCCUAAUACUCGGUUGAAGAUGAUUUACGUGUCAUUCUAAAUUAUUUUUAACUAUAUUGCCCUUUCACCGAGUCG